rnacentral:lncRNA from 1 species
GCGGUGGUCUCACUACUCUUGGGGGUAGAGUUGGUGUCUUGUGUUUUGGUGGUGGAGGUGGCUUAACAGGAGUUGGUGGCUUGUAUUCUGGGGGUGGUUUCUCCACCGGAGGUGGCUUAUAAACUGGAGUUGGUGGCUUGUAUUCUGGGGGUGGCUUCUCCACUGGUGGUGGCCUGUAAACAGGGGUUGGUGGCUUAUAUUCUGGGGGAGGCUUCUCCACUGGAGGCGACUUAUAAACAGGGGUUGGUGGCUUGUAUUCCGGGGGUGGCUUCUCUACGGGAGGUGGCCUGUAAACAGGGGUUGGUGGCUUCUCCACCGGAGGUGGCUUAUAAACGGGGGUUGGUGGCUUGUAUUCUGGGGGUGGUUUCCCCAGUGGUGGAGACUUGUAAACAGGAAGAGGUGGUUUGUGCUCAUAUGGGGGUGGCUUGUGGUCAUUAGCAAGUGAGGGAGUGGUGAGGACCACCAAUCCAAGGAACAACACGAGUGAGCAAGCAGAAGACAUGUUUGGGCUCUGGUGAUGCACAAGUAGAAGAAAUGGGAACCAUUUAUAAUGCUUCGAGACCUUGGUUAGCACCAAAAUAUGUCAAAAUCUUGAUUACUUCAUUUCAUACAUAGAUUUAAAAUUAUUUCAAUCAACCAUGAUCCUUAAUUUUCUGGGUGGUCCAUAAAUGUAAUGGGGUCAAUUUGGGACCUAACAAGCUGAGAAGUUUGACAAUGCUGCAAGGCUUCAUCCGAAAGUCCGGGGAAGAAUAUUAGGAGUUACACUCCGUUUCCUUUUUUGGGUGCAUUUUUCUCCUUUAACAUUCUAUUCCCUUUUACAUUAGCAUUUGAUCUUAGCUCAUUUCAAGUACAAGUUUCUUGAACCCUAUACCAUUGUCAAAGUUGAGUAACCAUCUCUACUUUGCUCAAGAAACAUAAAAGACAAUGACAAUAAAGAAAAAGGAGAGAGACCAUACGUGACUUGGUUUAUAGGUGGCUUUGUGUUGACAUUUGAGUAUGGAAGCCGACAUGCAUCUUAGCUUCGAUUUUAAUUAAAUUUGUACAUUAGUGUCUGUGUCAUUCAUUUUGGUAUAAAAGGUCUCUUGAUUUCGUAAGUUUGGUAAGAACCGUUGAAAAUAGCAGUAGCAGCACAUGGUCCACUUUCUUUCACAAAAUAAUUUUAAAAGUUUAGAAGCAUAGGAGGUAACAUUAGUGGCCUUGUGGCUCAGCCACGAGUACUAUGUGGUGCUCGAGAAAUUGAGUUUAAUUUCCUUCCGAUAGUUCAUGAUAAGGUCCGUCACUGUCCUGAGACAGAUUGCGUUUUUUCUUUUUUCCUUUUUUAGUGUUUUAUUGACUAGCUAGGUGUGACUUUUCCUACUUUAAGGCACGAGGCAGAAAAGAAACUGGGAUUUAGUGCUUAAGAAGGCAAAUUUAAUUCGAUUUGGAUCUAAAAUUUGCCAGCAACAUGAGAUUUUCCAGCCUAUCGUUGCUCCACAUAUAGACAAGGCACUUGUAGAAGUGGCUUGUUUGUAGCCAUUCCCGAUAUUUGGACUCACUUGAUUCACCGGACACUUUGAUAAAAUUUAAUAUUUAUUAUUUAAUAAUUUAAAUUGAUUUAAAAUUAAAUUAUACCGAAGUUGUGAUUUAAAAAUUAUUAUUUAAUUCUUACUUUUAAAUAUGAAGAUUAUUUGAUAAAAAUAAUUUAAAAUUUAUUAUAAAUUAUCAAAUUAACAUAUUUAUCCUUAUAAAUUAUAAUUAAAACAGAAAAGGUCAAAUGAUUUGAGUAUCCAUAGAUGUGGUAAAAUAAUAAAAAAGAUUAUAAAAACAAUUAUGAUAAAUAAAGAUAAAAAGUAAAAUGAAUAUGUGAAUUUAAAGAAUAAAUUAAUUAUUUUUAUUUAUUACUUAAAAUUAUUUUUGACUUUAAAUUAUAUUAUUAAAUUAUUUUACCAAACAUACUUAAUUUAGUUAAUAAUUUAAAUUUAAUUUAAGUUAUUAAAUUGAUUCACCAAAUACCCACUUAAUCAAAGACUGAAGUAUACAUUAUUUGGCCAAAUGCAGCUAUUGAAAUUUAACUUUUUCCAAACUUAUUCAUUUUGUGGAAAUAUUUUUAGAAAUGAUUUUAAAAAUGCACUAUUCUGUGUGUUGAUUUUAUAUUUUGGCAUUAAUCCAACAUAGAAAACGGUUCUUAUUUUCGCUGUUAAAUAGGUACCAGAUCCUUAAUUAGUGCCGUGAAUCCGGCAGCUUCCAAUGAGUAAUUUGGACUUGGGUAUUGACAAUGUGUGGCCAUGCUUCUACUAUUUUAUUAUUCUUGAAACAUAUAUGAUAUAUUGGACUUUAUACAGGGAAAAAAAAAAAAAAAAGUCUUCACCAAAAAUGAUUCCUCCUAAAAAAUAGACUCCACAAACUAGGUUUAACAGGAAAAUGAUUCUAAUCUAGUAGUUUCCAGCCACAUGAGCAUUUACGUAACAAUAGUAUAGUUGAUAACGACUUUUAUUUUAUUUAUUUUUAAAUAGUUAAAGGGAUAAUUUUUGAGCUUAAAUUUUAUUUUUUUAUUUAGAAACAUUUUACUUUAUUUUUUAAUCAUAAUUCUAUUAUAUUAAUGUUUUAUUUUCUAUUUUUUAAUAUAUAAGGAGAUACUAAAUUUAUGUGAUUAUUUUUUAAAAAUUUAGUAUAUGAAAUUAAAUAAUUGGAUAUAUAUACAUAUAUCAUAUAAUGUUUUUUAAGUGUGAUUUUUGAACUUUUUAGUCAUUUUAUAAGUUUAAGCUUUUGAUUUUUUUUUUUAAACUUUGGUAUUUUUUAUUUUAUAUAAAACUAUUUUGAUUUAAUUUUAUUAAAAAAUAUUGGUAUUAUAAAUUAUUGUAUUAAUUAUUUUUUUAUAUUAUAAUGUAACUGGUAUAUACUAAAAAAUGUAUGCAAGUUCAAUUUAAGUUUCAAAUUAAAAAAUUUCAUUUAAAUAUUUAAUAACUUGUUCAUAAUAAAAAAUUAAACAACAUAAUACAAAUGAAAAGAAACAUAAAAGAAAAAGGAAAAAAUGGUCCUCUCUGUGUGUCACAUUACUAGGUCAUCCUCUUUUUCUAUGACCCUUACAAUAGAAUGGCAUAUUUGUCAAAUCUACUUAUGAAAGUUGGAAUGUUUCUACAUGUGUAGGGUCCAUUGGAACUAAUGGAGGAAAGGCUUAACGUCUAUGUAAAUCACAACGUUGCCUAGGUGGGCAUAGAUCUAGUUGUGUAACAUGAGAUGGUGUGAGAGUACAAUAUAUGCAUUGUAGUCUCUAUGGGAAGAGAGAUAGGUAAUGGUAGGGUGGUAGACGGUAGGGUGAUCUCUAAUAUAAUGACAUUUGAUGUGGUGGCUUCUAAGAGAGGAGAUAUAAGAGAUGGUAGAAUGACAUUUGGUGUAAUGGUCUCUAGUGCAAUGACAUGUGAUAUGGUGACCUAUAAAGAAGAGAUAUAGGUGAUGGUGAAGUGGUAUGUGGUGUAGUGACCUUUGAGAUAGAAAAUAGAGGUAAUGGUAGGUUGGCAGGUGGAGUGGUCUUUGGUGUAGUGACAUCAAUUAUAAAUGUCUCCAAGGGAGGAAAUAAAGGUGAUGGUAGGUAGUAAAUGUUGAGGUGGUCUUUGAUAUGUUAUGCUCUAAGAGAGAAGGUAUAGGUAAUGAUAAUAGGGAAUUUGACAUAGUGGUGUUGGAAAUAAAAAGUGAAAGUGACCGUAGAGGUGAAAGGGCAAGUGUAAAAGCCUCAAGUACGAAUGGAGUAAUUAAUGUGGAUGGUGCUAACAUAGUCUUAGGUGGAUACACAAAUAGUCAUAGUCAUCAACUAGCUUGCCCACCAUCUGUCUUUCUGCUAGUGAUAGGUUACAUCUUAAUAGUAAUGGCCAACAUAAGUGGUGUGGAUCCGAUUUUUUUACGUGUGUCCCCACUCAAUCGACAAGACUUAUUUUUUAUUAGUGAAAAAUUAAUUUUGGAAAAGUUGGAGUCACCACUUAUUUUAUUUUAUUUUAAAAAGGAAAGUAAAACAAGAAAGAGAACUCUAAAGAAGUGACUUCAUAGUUUUGGAAAAGUUAGUCUUAAAAAAUCCAAGUCUUGGUCCGGAGAUCAGGUUACUUAUUGGGAAGAUACCUCUAAGAGGUAAUACCCCUCUAAACCCUAAAGAAGUCUCUAAUGACUAAGUUGAGGAGAAUGUGGUAAUUAAUUAAUUGAUUGAGGGUACCUAGGUAGACUAAGGUGAUUUCAGAAUUAACAUACCAAGCUAGAAAGUCCAAUCAUGAUCAUAAAAGAGAGUCAAAGUAUGUACCUGAACUGCUUCUCAAACGCUAUCAUAAAACAUCAAAGUUAGUAUAGAAAUAUAACACAUAAUAUUUGUUUUAUCCAAGCAAAUAAAGCAUACAUCUAAGCACCCAAGAAUCACAUCAAGUAUGGAUAUAGUCAUCAAUAGCAUACGUGUCCAUAGAACUAUCGAAAGUAAAUGUGGAGGAGCGUAUCUGGACAACAUAGAUAACUUAUAAUGUGCUUCCACAAGACAUGGGGGUUAGAUAAAAGUUAUAAUAAUAAUUAGUAAAUGAAAGAAUUCUAGCAUGUUUGGUAUCUAAAUAACAUAGCAAAAAUGAACAAGAGUACACGAAAACAUCAAUUAUCACACGAGUCAUAUUGGCUAGUAUUUAAUCAAUAAACCAACAAUAAAUGACUAUAAACAUAUAAAAUGACAUAUUCAAAGAGACCCAAACAUAAAGAGCCUAGAACACAAGCUUACACUAAAUUUAGAAAACUAAAACAUGGAAUUUUAAAAGCAUAAAUUAGCAAACAAAUUGAUGGAAACUAAAUUUAGAUAACUUAAGAAUAUUUUUCUUAUCCUUCAAUUUAAAUCAGUAAGCCAACAAUAAAAAAUUAUAGAAACAUGGAAUAUCAAGAUCAAUGGGAUACCUAAACUAUAAUUUUUAAAAGAAAAUAAACUAAGCAUAAUAUCUACAAAGCAACUAAACUAACAUUUUUUUAAAAAUAAAUUAAACAUGACAUUAAUGGAGUAACCAAACUAAAUUAAAGUAAACUAAAAACAUUUAUGAAUUUUCAAACAUGGAAUCAGCUUUCUUAGUAAAUUAAAAUUAUUAAAAUAAAAUCUAAGCUUAAAAAUGAAUUAAAUACUAACUAAAGCAAAUCUAAAACCAAAUAUUUAACACAUAGGAUCAAUUAUAUUAACAAACUAAAAUUUUAUAAGAACACUUAAACCUAAAGUUGAAUUAAAAACUAACCAAUUUUUAAAACUAGAUCUUUAACCCAUAGGAUCAAUUAUAUUAACAAAUAAAUAAUAAAUAAUAAAUAAAUAAAACUCAAACCUAAAGAUGAACUAGAAAUGUACCAAAGUAAAUUCAAAACAAGAUCUUUAACACAUUAGAUCAAUUAUAUUGACUAACUAAAAAAAAAAAAAAAAAACACUCAAACCUGAAACGAUGUAUUAGAAACUAACCAAAGCAAAUUUAAAAUAGAGUCUUUAACACAUAGGAUCAAUUAUAAUCACUAACUUAAAUUACAAUUUUUGAAACAUGAACUAAUUAGUGUUGGAUUAAUUAAACUAAUUAACUAAAAAAAACUAUAAACUAGAAUACGGUGAAUCAAGAAUUCAAAUCAACAAACAUAAAAUAUGGGUACAAUGAAAUGAAAAUCUAUUAAACUAAUAAGACGGAAAUAUGACAAACUCAUGAACCCACAUUUUGAUCAACUAGGAAAUAGAAAUUAAUAGACCUGUAGCAUGGAUACAAUGAAAUGAGAUCAGUUAAAUUUAUUUGCCGAAAUUCUAAAAAACACAUACACUCAAAUAAGAUCUAAAUCUAAGACCAAGCAAAACUCAAACUUUCUCAAUCUAAUGCAAUGAAUCAAAACUAAAAUUAAAUAGAAAUCAAACCAUUUUUUUUUUAUCUAAUAUAAUAAAUCAAAGCUAAAACUAAACAAAAUCGAAUUUUCUUAAUUUAAUAUGAUGAGUCAAAGCUAAAAUUGAACAAAGUUCAAACCUUUAUAUAAUGGAUCAAAGUUAAAUCUAAAUGAAAUCCAUACUUCCACAAUUUGAUAUAACAAAUCAAAAAUAAAACUAGAUAAAAAAAAAGUCAAAGCCUUUCAACUUGACAUAGUGAAUCCAAACUGAAACGAAACAAAAUUUUAACUUUUCCAAUGAAACCCAAUAUAGAAAAAAUUAGCUUACCUUCUUUAGAAUAUAUGUAUGGGCCAUAAAGAAGUCACCUUGGUGCAUGUGUUCCUCACUUUGACGCCAAUGGACGACUUUCUAUGGUAGCAAAUGGAGAUCCUUUUUGGUGGUAACUUGCGUGUGGAAACCUAUGGUACAACCAAUGUCAUCUUUUAUUGUGCGUGUGGACCAAUUUCUUCUCGAGAACUCAUGUGUGUUGUGCUCAAAAUAUGUUGCCUGUGAGAAUCUAUUGGUAUACCCCACAUAUGGUUUCCUUGAGAGAAUCUGUGGUUGUGUGUGGGCGUUUUCUUCAUGACAGCAUGUGGAUGUUCCCAUCUAUGGUAGAUUGGUUGUGAUGCUUUAGUGCAUGGUCUCCAUAGGAAUAGUGUGUUAUGGAAAUUUGGUUUUUUUAUUGGUGCAUGUUGUCUAGACUUUCCCAUAUGCGUGGACUGUGUGUUCAUGCUUUUCUUUUCGGAUGGUCGCCUGUGUUAAUGUGUGGCGGUGUCUACAAUGAAAGAUACAACCCUUUCUCUCCUUCUGCGUGAUAGAAAAGUCAAUCCCCCAUGGUGCGACUAUGUUCCCUCGUCCUUUUUGAAAAAUUUUGGUGUUUUCCCCCCAAAAAAUCCCCUCCAAAAAUCUAAUUAUAAAUGUCUGCUUUGGCCUAAUGUGUGUGCUACUUUUUUUUUCCUUCUUUUUAUGGUUGUGCGUGCUUUUCUUGAUACGUGGCUUAUUUCUUAAGGAUAUGAUUCGCUCCCAAUUGGUGUCUCAGCUGAUUCAUGUCCUUUCAAUGGUCCCUGACAGUGGUGCCAUUUGAUUCGUGUCCAGCUGGUGUCCCUUGAUUGUGGUCCUCAGAAGGGAGUAAUCAAUAAAAUUUAUAACCUAUUACACCAUGUAUUAGGAUAGCCUUAGCUAGCAUAGCAUAGUGGCUCUAGGGUCGUUUAUUGGGAUGAGUUUUCACUUCACAAUUGAUAUUAAUUCAAGAGCUGAAUUGGUGCCUUUUCAUUUCAAGGUUAGCUUUAAAAGAAAACAUAAUCUUUGGUGGAAAAAGGUUUGGUUUUAAACUAACCAAAAAUAGUAACUGAUUUUACUUACAAAGAAAAGUGUUCUUUGGAGUUUAGAUCACUAGGCUCAGGUUCCUCAUACAAAAAGGAGAGUUCCGAUCAUUUGUUUCUUUUCCUCGCAUUAGAGAAUUAACAUAUAGUUAAUUCUCUAACCGGUGCGGUACAUAUGCUUCCCAUUAAUGGGUUCAAACACUAAAUACCUCUCACUGAUGCACCUUGCAAUGGCUCGUGCCUCUCACCUAGCAUUUAUCAUUCAAGGUGAUCUUUAACCUUGGAUUACCCAUCAAAAGCUCGCAAGAGAUAACUAAAGGAUGUCUCCUUAGAGUCCAAAAGCUUACCAAGUGUUGGUUAUUCUAGAAAAUCCUACCUUCAAACCACCUCCCAAAGGCUCGCAAGAGAUAAACAAGUGCAUCUCAAUGGAUGAAGAUCACUUGCCUUACCAAGUUUUGGCCCAGAUGAUUUAAUGACAUUUUAAGUUAACUAAAAAGAUAAAAACCAUUAACGGGUCACACUUUCUCUUCAUUAAAAACUAAAACAACAAAACUUCCAAUUUAUGCAUGAGGAAACUUACCUGGCUUUCUUCACUUCAAGAGAUGAAGAGCCUAGCCACUCAUCAUUUGAGGAAAAAUCCUCAGAGUUUGAUUUGCUAGAAAUAAAAAUAAUGAGAAAACAAAAAUAUAUAUAUGAAAAACAGAGCAAGUUCUCUGUAAUAUAUUUUUCUUCCUUAUACAAAAGGUUGUCUCUAAGAACAAGUUCCCGAGAUCUAUCUGAUUGUAAAUAAAAUUACAACUAUAUAUAAGAGGUUAUUCACCCCUUUGUUCUUUCUUAAAGACUAAGGAAUCCUAUGAUAGGUGGGUUACAAGGAGAGUUUGGGGAUUUAGACAUCAAAUAUCUAAAGCAAAAUAUCUCAAGAUGUUAGUCGGAAAUAUCAGGAAGCUUCAGGAGAACACCGCGACACUGUAUACUGAGAGAAAAACUCUCCGGGUAAGCUCUAUCAAAGGAUCCAGACAUGUCUGACUGGGAAAGUUGAAACGUCCUUCUCUCCCAUCCGGAUGUGAGAUAUCCGGAGAAAGUGAAAUGUCGGUCGGACAGAAUUCUUUCCCCGGGUGGAAUGAGUUGUGUUGCGCGUCGCAAGGGGGACCGUCUGCGUGUACAAGUUGUAGGGACCCCUCUCCCGGAUGACACCGAGCGCGUAAGGCUAUCCGGAUCAACUCCAUUCGGAUUCCCCAAGAGGACAUGUGGCGUGCUCCCCUAUCAGGACUCCCUUAGGGAGAAGCACACGACACUCGUGAACAUCAUACCCGGACGAUAGCAUGUCCUAUCCGGAUGUGUUGUCCGGAUCAUUGACUAAAGUGAGCAAGCCUUGCUACGUCAUUCGGACAGCUUGCCACAUACCAUGUUCCGUCGCCAUCUGAUGGUGUGUCCGAACGCCUUGUCCGGACAUCUUUUGCUCCUUGCAUUCCGGAUUUGCUUAUGACAAAGGACUUCAAAGCUUCGGUUCUUCAUGUUUCUGAGCUUUCCAUUGCUUUGCCAUGGAUUCCAAAGAACUCUCCUUAAUCACGGAUUGCUUUGGUGAUCAAAAAGUUAUCAAAACACAAAAACUUAACAUAGUUUGAUUAGAAUUGAUUGCAAGGGUUCUUAAUAUGUUAAUUGGGUUAAAAGGUGAUAACUACUACUCAAAAGUGUUUAUAAGAAUUAAUUACAAGCUAUGAAAUAACACUUUUUGAGUAGUAAUCAGGAUACAUCCUAGUUUUUCAUGGAAUUGAUAGUGGGUUGUUGUGCAUGAAUGCCACCAUUUCAACUAUGCUGUUGUUAUUUUUAAAAAAAAUAUGGAUUAUGCGCGAGUGGCAAUUCUCCACUAUGGAAAGUGGAUUGCUCCUUCAACCCAUGCAUGGCUACGUAUUCCUAUGUCUUUCUACUUGUGUUUGAUCCUCCAAAAAAAAUUUCGGUUUAGUGCUAGUAGAUUUUAAGUGGUGGAUCCCCAUUUUUUGAAAAUGAAGUGGCAGCCUCCCAUUUCAAGACAAAAUGGUAGCCUGCCUUUAAUCUUUGGAGAAAAAUCUGUGCAUGACCUUUUUUUUUCCCAAAAAAUCCGUGCAUGGUGUCCUUUAAUAUUUGGAGAAAAAUCUAUGUUGGAUCUUUUCUUUUCUAGAAACAUUUGUGUGGUCUUUUUUGUUAGCCCAAGGGUUCUUCUAAUCAAGUUUUGAUGAUAACAAACCAUGGUUAAGUGACUAAUUGGUUUAAUGAUUAAGAAUCUCAAACAUAAAAUCGAAAAUUCAUCAAAGGACCAAAUGGAUACAAGAUCGAGACGCUUGGAAGACUUGUAAUCAUAGGAAACUAAUGUAAGAUGAAUGCAUGAGUGCACUUAGGAUUUUCACACGUUUCAUGCAACUUAGAAAACCCAGUUUAUUCUUUAAAACUUCAUCCCAGUUUAUUCUUUUUAUGGUUGUGUGUGCUUUCCUUGAUACGUGGCUUAUUUAUUAAGGAUACAUCCCAGUUUUUCAUGGAAUUGACAGUGGGUUGUUGUGUGUGAAUGCCACCAUUUCAACUGUGCUGUUGUUAUUUAAAAAAAAAAAAAAUGGAUUGUGCGCGAGUGGCAAUUCUCCACUAUGGAAAGUGGAUUGCUCCUUCAACCCAUGCAUGGCUACGUAUUCCUAUGUCUUUCUGCUUGUGUGUGAUCCUCCAAAAAAAAUUUUGGUUUAGUGCUAGUAGAUUUUAAGUGGUGGAUCCCCUUUUUUUGAAAACUAAGUGGCAGCCUCCCAUUUCAAAACGAAGUGGUAGCCUGCCUUUAGUCUUUGGAGAAAAAUCUGUGCAUGACUUUUUUUUUCCCAAAAAAUCCAUGCAUGGUGUCCUUUAAUAUUUGGAGAAAAAUCUAUGUGGGAUCUUUUAUUUUCUAGAAAAAUUUGUGUGGUCUUUUUUGUUAGCCCAAGGGUUCUCCUAAUCAGGUUUUGAUGAUAACAAAUCAUGGUUAAGUGACUAAUUGGUUUAAUGAUUAAGAAUCUCAAACAUAAACUCGAAAAUUCAUCAAAUGACCAAAUGGAUACAAGAUCGAGACGCUUGGAAGACUUGUGAUCAUAGGAAACUAAUGUAAGAUGAAUGCAUGAGUGCACUUAGGAUUUUCACACGUUUCAUGCAAUUUAGAAAACCCAGUUUAUUCUUUAAAACUUCAAUUUCAUUAAAACCCGAGUUUUUAACUAAUGUACCUUAGGCAAAAUGUUUUAUAAUUGGCUUAAUAAUUCACCUAAAUACAUUUUCUAAGUGUUAGAAAAGAAAGGAAUUAAAAAAAGGUUUUCGGGGCAAAAAAGGCUCAACCGGUCGAGGCUAUGGUCAACCGGCUCAACCGGUUGAGGAACCAAUCGAUCGGUUGUGCUUGUCCGAUCGAAGACCAAUCGAGGGAUGCCAAAAAAUUUCUCUCUCUCCUAGUGGCCUUCUCUUCCCGGUCGAGGUUCGGUCUAGGCAACGGUAACAUGUCAAGCAUUAAAUGCUCCGACGACUAGUGAAUCGGUCGACCCCUAGCCCGAUCGGACGAGGUUGCCUUUUGCUGUUUUUGACUCCCGAGCUUAGAAACCUAUAAAUUGAGAGCUCCACUUCAUUUAUUGAUAAAAGAGAACACUUGCAUUCAAUAGUCUACCUACCUUUUCUUGAUCAAAAAGCUCUCAUUUCCUUCAUAGUGCAUUAAAUCAUCACUUGCAUAUCCUUUAGUGCACUAUUGUGUGUCAUCCUAGCUUUGUUUUGUAUUUGAGCUAUCCUUAAGCUAGGUUGAGGGAUUAUUUCUUAUAAAAAUCUGAGUGUUAAAGCCUUCAAGAGAUUUGAAUCUUGAAGAGAUUGUGUAAGAGCCCAUUGGAGCCGGAGUCCAAGUGUAAGAAGAUUGGAAGCUUGGUUGAAGCUUCAAGUUAGUGGAACCCUCACUCGGUUAGGAGGUUGAGGAGAGUGGACGUAGGUAAGGAAGUGUCGAACCAUUAUAAACCCGAGUUUGAAUUCUCUAACUCUAUCUCUUUAUUUUGCUUAUAUUGUGUUUGAAUUUGUUGUGAUUGAAAAGAUUUUAAAAACCUAAUUCACCCUCCCCCCUUUUGGGUUUUUUUUUCUUAAUUAAGCAUAACCUUUGUUUUCUAAUUUUCUUUUUAGGAAAAUCCAUGCGUGGUAUGUCCAAACUCUCCAAGUGGCAGUCUGCCUUCUUCUAAAAAAUUUGUUUCUAUUUCUUUAUUCGACUACCUUCCAUGUCUUCCUAAUGAGUGCUUGUGCUCAAUGGUCAAUCCCUGGUGGUUGCCUCCUUUUCCCAUAUAUACGUGUUGCAAAAUCAACAUCCCACUAUAUGUGGGUUGCCUCUAUGGCAAGUUCACAUUUCCCACAUGAAACCUAUGAGUUUCCACCAAAAAUUGCCAUGAAAAAGUCUUUAUAUGCAUCUCAUGCAAUAAAAAGUCAAGCCAAUACUCAUCUUAUCUCGAAAAAUAAGUAACCAAAAUCAAGAUCAUGCCUAAGUGAACUAUGCCAAAAGAAGUGUCCAAGUGACCUAUUAUGAAAAAAGUGCCUAAGUGACCUAAGGUGAAUGUGUGUAAGCUGGAAGGUGUCUAGGAUGUUUAGGACAAUGCCUAAGCCUAAAAUAGGGUUGCCAAGGGUCACAAUGGGGUUAGAUAAAUCUCUCAAUCAGAGUCUCCAAGGUGGCUCAUAAAAGAUAAGCUACACGAGUAAUGAUGGGCCACCAGGGAAUUAUUGUAAAGCACCAAACGAACACAUAAUAGGACAUGUGUUAGAAUGAAAAAAUGGAGGGUUUACAAGUGGUCUCAUGGAUGAGCUUGAUAAUUUAAAUGACUCACAUAAUGAACGUAUGUGAUGUUUCUCUCCAAUAACAAGCAAAACAUCACUAGCAAUAUGAUGAAUGUCUCCUAAAUCACUUGAAGUAGUCCUAGCAAAUCAAUUAGAAAAAUCACACAUAUUGCUCUAAUGUAAUAUUAUAUACAUCUGUCAAUGAAUGGGAGAACUAAUGACACAACCAUCAUGUUGAUAUCUCGAACCCUCUAAUCUCAUAUGUAGGUGGGAUCACACUUAGAAACUCAUAACACAGUAAUGACCAAUCUAAGUCAAAAUGUGUUGGUGAUCGGAGGCCCAUGAAUAUGAAGUUCUAGGAUGAUAAUGACAUCUUAUAAAGUAAUGAUCAUCUCCUUAAUAGAUAGGUGAAAUGUGUGUGUCUUAGGACACCAUCUCUCAACAAGACUUGUGAUCAAUCCCCAGUCUAGUGUAACAUGCCUAUUAUGACAUCCAUCGUAAAAUCUAGACUAGAUAAUAUAAGGACAAAUGUGAGGGUUCAUCUCCCUUUCCCACAUAAAUUUAAAAAAUUAUUAUUGACAAGUUAAGACCAAACUAAGUUGCAAAAUAUAAAUAAGUCCAUUAGAUAACAAAUUUAUGUUUUCUCAUUUUCUCAUUUUUAAAGAGAUAUUAUGUGCUUCCAUGUACAUACAUGCUAAAGUCAAUUAUACGAGACUUAUAUCCAUCUUGUAGAACCAAAUCGAACCUAUCUAAUAGAUCCAGAUUAGAAGUAUGUCCUCUAUACUCCAUAUUUAUAACACAUUUAUAAAGAUAAAUGCUAAAAAAAUGUUAAAGAUAUAAAUUUAAUGAACCAUACUUUAUGAUUUUAAUUCUCAAUUAUUGUUCAUAUUUAUAAGAGAAAAGUUAAAAAAAUUGAUAGAGUUUUCCCUCUAUCAUGGACAUUAUCCCAAAUAAAAAUAAAUUGAUUAUGCAAAUUACAUUAAUAUUUGUAACCAAAUGAUCAAUAACUAUCUUGUAUCAAUUUAGUAAAUAAAUUUAAGUAUAUCUUUUCAUUUAUGACUAACAAAUAACUCAUACUUGUCCAAUAAAAGCCACACCUAAUUUCUAAAAUUUUGUCUUCACCUCAAGUGAGUGUUACAUUGAGAAAGAAAAAAUAUGAAAGAAAAAAUGAACACCUUUUUCUUUUAAUAAAAAAAGGCCAUAACGAAACAUUAAAUCUCACUGUUACACCUAUCUUCAAUGGAAACAUGAGGAUGUGAAUGGUGGCGGUGAUAUUCUUUGCUUGAAGCUCAUAAACAAAUAUUCCUUACUAAGCCUAUGCCAUUUAGUAUUUCAAUAGUGGACCCCCCCCCCCCCCCCCCCCCCCUCCUUGCAUUUCAGAUUUAGCAAACUUAGAACCAAAUAACAAAGUGCAUUUGAACCCAUAAAGAAGUAAUGAGACUCUCCUAUAUUGGCAAUAGAAGAAAUUUUUGGAGGUAUAGGAGAUUCACGGAUGAAGAAGUUGGGCCCCAAUUGAGAUAAGACCCAAGAAAAGAUGGGGUAGAGAGGGAUGGUUGGAAAUUGUAAAGUAAGAUUUUCAAAAUGUAGUUGAUGACUAAGAUUUUGACAAUUUAAAAAAGGUUUAAAAAUGUAGUUAGCAAUCGGGGUUUUGUAACAUUUAAAAAAUAAAAUAAAAUCUCAGGCCACAUGGUAGCCCAUGUGAUUCAGAAGCUUGAGAAUUAUUUUAUAAGAAGACUUAAUUUGUGAUUUUUUUAUAACUAUAUUAUUUUUUUUCUUAACACACGAAAAAAAUUAUGAAAUAAGACAAUUUUCCUAAGAAAGCAUGUAAGUGACUCUUGGUUAUUUUAUUUAACUUCUUCUAGUUUGGAGAGGAUUAAUACCUUUGCUUUUACUCACUUGCUUGGAUAUGUACACGUUGUUCAUGUCACUUUUCAUUUAAUUUUCUGAUUAAGGGAAUUGGAACCGUACGUAACUGUCUUUAUUCCCUCUGAAACUUGGACUUGGAGUUGGACUUUCAAUCUCAUCAGUCGUGUUUCCAUAAAAAAGAAGAUGGAUUAACCAAUUUUCCUAUGCCUACUAAUCAUACACAAAACUCCACUUCCAAAUAAAAAGGAAUGGGAUAUCACUUGUUAAUAGUGGCUAAAGACUAUUAAUAACCAUGCAAAGAAAUGUCACAUUUUUUGUUCUACGCAAAUUUUAUUCAUCAACUACUAGAACCAUUUCAUACAAUAGUAGCUUUUCGAUCCUUUGAUAAAUGGACACUUGAUGUGAUAACACCAACUACACCUAUAUAUUCAAGCAAUCAUGCGUAUAUAAUAGUGGAUAUGGAUUACUUCUCUAAAUGGGCAAAAGUUUUGUCAUUCAAGGAAAGUGAACGAGGAAACACAAGUUUACUUUCAUCGGAACUAAUAUUAUAUAUUGAUAUGACUUCCCAUUAUUACUUACGAUGGAAUAUGCUUCCAUAAAAUGGCCUAGAUGAACAAACUAUCCAAGAAGUUUGGGAUCAAAUAAUAUAUAUAUAGUUCAUGUGUGAUUCUUUGGUUGACAACCUUGUUAAGGGGUGAGUGAAGCACUUUGGGCAUACCACAUACUACAUGCUAGACUUCCACCCAAGCUACCCUAUAUUCCUUAUGAACAAAGUAGAAGUUGUCAUCUCUCUUGAAUACCAAAUCCUUUCACCUAAUAAUGCUAUCUAAAAAGGUCUUAAAAAGGAUAAAAAUGCGCAUAUUUGAAUUUUUGAAUUAGGAGUGCUACUUAAAAAGAAGCUAGAUAUACAAUAAUAGAAUGUUAUCAAGCAUAUCUCUUCAAAGUUUUUGACCAAAAAAUAUAUGAUUUCUCAUUUUAGGUAGGAGACUUAGUACUCACUAUUCAAAAACCAAUUAUCAUUACUCAUAAAAACUAAUAGAAAGUUUGGGCCAAAGUAGGAUGGACCUUAUAUUAUGCAACAAUUAUGCCUAUAAAAUUGUUGCAAAAGAGGUUUUAGAAUCAAAUCAAUGAAUGAAAAAUUAUUAAAGCAUUACUAUGCUUGAAGGCUAGUCAUUUUCCCUUAAAGUGCAAUAUUAAGUUGCAUAGUACUAUGUGGAUCCGCAUUUUUCACAUGCGUUCCCACUCAUUGUCGAGACUCACUUUUUAGAAGUGAAAAAUUAGUUUUAUUAAAGUCGAAGUUGCCACUGGGGAUUUGAACCCUAACAAAAGGUUCAAUUUAAGGAUAAAAAUAUCGAUAAUCACAUAUAUAUAUAUUGGUACUUUGAUUUUAUGAAUAUAUUGAAGAAAUAUGGACAAAUAUUUUGACACAAAAUAUGUACAAAAUAAAAAUUAUAUAAAAAGUAAAAAUAAAUAUUUUAAAAUUAUUUUUUUAAAUAUAUAUAUAUAUAAUUUGACAUAUUUGAUAAUAAUAUAUAAGGGUCUCCAAAAAGCCCGUGGCCCGCUUUAGGCCCGGUCCGACCCGACAGGCUAAAGCCCGGCCCAAGCCCGCCGGGCCCAAGCUCGGCCCGAGCCCGUUUAUGGGUGGGCCGGGCCGCGAGCCCGUAGGCCUGCUCCUUUAAAAAAAAACUACAAAAAUAAAAAGUAUUAAAAAAAAUAUUCAUUUCAAAAUUUUAUUCAUUGAAUGUAUAAUUACAUUUGAAAAUGUGGGAAAAGUUUACAUCACUACAAAAUAAAUACAUCCCAACUAGGUUGGCACCUAUUUAUUUGUCAAUCAUCUGUAUUUUUCAACCACAAAAAAUAAAAAUAAAAAUAUAAUAUACAUUUAGUCAUUAUUUUCUGGCGGUGAUGGCGAACUAUCAUGCAUCCAUGAAGAUCUUGAUAAUUUUAAAGAUUCCAUAUCGGUAAGCAUCUUUGUUUCUCGAAUGGAAUCAUACAUCCUUUUAUCUGCUAUUUCCCAAUCUUUCACACAUAUCCCUGCUUUAAUAACAUCUGACGCUAAGUUGCAUCGUUUUUUACUAACUACUCUUCCACCUGCACUAAAAGCAGCUUCUGAUGCAACUGUACUCACAGGAACUGUUAGUACAUCACGAGCAAUUAUAGAAAGCACAGGAUAUUUGUGUUGAUGUGAUUUCCACCAUAUUAAAAUAUUAAAAUCUUCUUGAUCUUCAAAUGAAAUUAUAUCAGUAUUAAGAUAUUUAUCUAAAUCAGAUGUAUUAUUUGGAGAAUUAUUUGUUGUCUUUUUUCGACUUUUCAACAUUUCUAGAGCUCCUUUAUAAAAAGAUGAGGAGUUUGUAGAUGUAGGUGGUAAUUUAAUAGUAUUAAUAUCAUUACCAUAUUUUUCUUUAUAAUAGUUAUAUAAAUUAUAUAAUAAUGAAUUUAUUUCAUUUUUAAUUUCUUCAAUUUUUAUUUGGUCAUUAAAAUAAAUAAUUGUUAACCAUUCAUCCAAAGCUUCAAAUUUCAAUCUAGGGUCCACAAUUAAAGCAAUAUAAAAAAUUAAAGGUAUUUCUCCCCAAUAUUUUCUAAAUUUUUAUAUCAUUACAAAUAUUGUAUCAUUAAAUAUUUCAAAACUUAAAUAUUUUUGAAGUACAAUAAAAAUAUUAGUUAUUUGCGUAAUAACUCGAUUUGAAGUUGGAUAAUAUACACCACAAAAAAUGUUUGUUGAAGUAUCAAAAAUUUCAAAAAGAUCUCUUAAAACAUCCGCAAUAUGCCAAUCAUAAUCAUUUAAUGCAUAAAUAUCUGCUUCAUAAUCAUUGUUAAUUAAUUGUAUUUCAUAUAAUUCGACUACUUUUCUAUAUUUUGUAAUAUUUUCUAAAAGUUUAUAUGUGGAAUUCCAUCUAAUAGCCAUAUCCAAAUUUAUAUUUUUUCUUUUCAUAUUUAACAUUUUGCAACAAUCAAAAAAUAAUUCAUGUUUUGCUUGAAAACUAUUAAUACUAUAUGCAAUGCCUCUAAUUUUUUUCCAAUGUACUAUCAACAUUUUUUAAUCCAUCCUUUACAAUUAAAUUUAAAAUAUGUGCACAACAACGCACAUGAAAUAUUUUAGCAUGAUCUUCUUUUACUUGCCAAUAUCGUUUUAGUCUAUGUAUUGCUGCAUCAUUAUUAGCAGCAUUAUCUAAUGUUAUUGUCAAUAUUUUAUCACGAAUGCCUAAAUCUAUAAUUUCAUCAUUUAUUAAAGAUGCUAUAUUUUUACCACUAUGUGGAGUAUUUAUUAAUUUAAAUAAAAUUAUUCUUUUAUUUAAUUUCCAUUCAUUAUCAAUGUAGUGAACAAUUAUAUAUAAAAAACCAGUAUGAGUUAAAGAUGUCCAAAUGUCAGAUGUUAAACGAAUAUUUCCUUCAAAAUUUGCAAAAUUUUUUUUUAAAAUUUCUUUUUGUGUAUAAAUUUUUUUCAUAAUAUCUCUUUUAACUGUAUUUCCAGAUCAACCUUUAAAUUGAGGAUUAAUACCUCGUUGAAUUGUUCUUGCAAAAUCAUGAGUUUCCAUCAUGUUGAAAGGUUGUUCUGCUCUUAUUAUAUAAUCAAUCAUUUCUUCACAACAGUUAGAUUCAUCAUAAGAAAAUGUUUUUAAAUUUCCACUUUCAUUUUUACUUAAUUGCAUAUAAUUUCUAAUAUCUACAUUAUUUUUAGUUUUACAAUUUUCAUGAUGUCUUUUUAAAUGACUUGUAUCUGCAUUUGAGCCACCAGUAAGAAAUUUAUUACAAAUUUUACAUUUUGCUUUUAUUUUUUUUUUAUUAUUUUCUAAAAUUAUUUCUAUUCUAUCAAAAAAAUUCCAUAUAUUUAAAGUAAAUUUUUUGUUUGAUGAUAUUUCAUCACAUGGACUAGACGAAGAAGCACUUGUCAUAUUAUAAUUAUUGAUAAAAUAUUAUGCCAAAAAUAAUAAAGUAAUAAAUAUAAAAAAAAAUGUAACAAAAAAAAUAAAGUAGUAGGGGUGAAGUAUGUUACUCAAUUAGAGAACCUAUGCAGAAAUUCCUAGCAAAUUUGAACUCUUGGAGCCACCAAUGCUUGUUUUGCACCAUCAACAAUAUUGUAUAAUUUGAGGGAAAAAUAAAAGAAUUUAAAAUAUUGUAGAAUGUGAGAGAAAUAGAGAGAAUUUGAUGAAAAAAUGAAAAGGAAGAAAAUGUAUUUAUAGGAAGGUUAAAAAUAAUAAUAAUAAUAAUAAUAAUAAUAAUAAUAAUAAUAAUAAUAAUAAUAAUAAUAAUAAUUGGCCAUGUGACCGUUGGAGGCUUAGCUCCAACGGUCACAUGGGCUGGAGCUAGGCUCCAACAGUCACAUGACCGUUGGAGCCUUUAAUUUUUUUUUUUAAAAUAAUAUACUUUAUUUUUAUAUAUAUAUAACUAACUCAAUUAAUAAACAUAAAAAGAAUAUAGUUCAGUUGGUUAGAACCUUGAAGUUUAAACAUGAGGGGAGGGGUUUGAAUCCCUCCCUCUCCCUUAGGGGCUUUUUUAAAAGCCAUUUUGGCUUAUUUCAAAAAGCCUGUCGGCCCGACCCGCCCUGCAGCCCGCGGGCCUAGCAUUUUAGCAUGGCCUGGUCUGUUGACUAGUCAAAUGGCUCAUAGGCUCGGCCCGAACUGGGCCGCGGGCCUCUUAUUUACGGACCGGCCCGACCCGGCCCGCCCGUUGGAGACCCUUGAUAAUAUCUUCUAUAUUAAGUUACAUUAUAGUUUAUUUUACAAUAUUAUUAUGAUAAUAUGUCUAAUUUUAAAAUAUAUUUAAUAUUAAAAUUAUGAUCUAUUUUAAUUUAAAUGUAUUCAAUGAUAUCAAAUAAAUAAUAAUAUAUGUAUAAUUCUUUUAUUAUUUAUAUUUAUUAUUUUUAAUAAAUAUAUAGAUUAUAUAAAAAAGACCGGAUAUAUCUUUUCAAAUUUUGUAUCGCUCUCCAAGGAUAUUAGAUGUAUGGGAAUUUGUAUUGCUAUCUACGGAUACGUUGAUAUAUGGGUGAUUUAUCAGGAUAAUUAGAAAUUCUAAUUAUGUAAGCAGGUACGGAGUUCUGUGUCGGUGCGAUCUUGUCGACAACAGCUCCAAAUUGUGCAUCUUGCUCAUAGAGAGUAGCGGAAUGCACCAAUCGUAGGCUCAGAGUACCACUGAGUCGUCUGGCAGAGACCCAACUGAAGGUGCCUGUGUUGUUCCUGAUCUGAUCAGGCUUCAAACUACAAGGUGGAAUACUGGUUCCCCUAUAUCAGAAGCUGGAGAUACCCACCCCAUAUGCUCGUCUGGAUGUGCUCCUACCCUUUGAAGCCUUCUUCCGAGUCAAGUCCGAAUUGAUAAGGCUAGUGAGUUCCCAACCAACUGUACUCAGCAUGCUGCCAGGUGGAGACCCUCCAUAUUUGAUGGCUUCCUAAUAUUAAAAUGCUGACCACUGGUCUUCAUGUUCCACAGGCUUAAUUGUGUCCUUUGCUGAAAGAAUGGAUAGUGAUCCAUUUUAACACAUGAUUCACGCCGUCUUUGCCAUUCUUCAUGGUCUAGCCCUUUUAUAUAUAUGCUUCCUGAACUGUUGCUAUUAAUAAAAUGUGGUAUCUAUCCCGUACACCUUCCUGAUGGCCAGCGAAUGCAGAAGCUACAGAAACGGUUCCAUCUUUUGCUUCCGCCACUUUGGCAUCCUCCAUGAUGAGAUCGAAGGUGAAUAAUCAUAUUCUGGGGAUUUAUGUCCUGGAUAUUCUCAGUAAUGCCCAAUUUCCUGGUGCCGGCCUCAUUUCCAUGGGAACUGAUGGAUAACUUAAGGCUUCUACCAUCUGCGUGGUUCGCUUCUAACACAGGAAACUUCACGGCUAAAAGCAAGAUACCAAGAACAUCAAGGCUGUGACAAAAAUUAGUAUUUUUAACUUGUAGGAAUUUGAAAGGCAACCAACCAUCUAGCUCUGUUCUUAAAGCUCCCAUAGGAGGAUCAGAGGCUGGAUUGCUCAAGAUGAACUCAUCCAUUGUUGCACUUAAAAAGAAUUGGCAUGAAUUGUGGCCGCUCUAAUAGGUUCCCUAAACCAUCAUCCAAGUGGGCUUGCGGAAGGUAGCGAGUUUAAAACACCUAGGGCGAUGAACAGUGGACUGUGAUGCUCACAAAAGAGAAAAGGAAGAAUUCAAUAAUUCCUAAGAAUCCAUUUGCCUGUCAUCCAAAUUUUUAUAUUCUCUUCAGUCUGACGCGUUAUGCCAUAUAUUAAAAAUAGCGGCUUCUUCCAAGCCGAGACAGACUGUGCAAAGUUCGCAAGGCCAAUCAUCACCAUAAUCUGAAGUUGGCCUCCUCAAUCGCAGCUUGUAUCCGAAUGCUCACUUCACGGGAUGGAUUGUAAUGAAAACUAAUCUCAGUCCCAGCUAUGGCAGCAUCCUCACUUGACAGCAUUUUCUGCAUAUUCUAGAACAAAGCAAUAAACCCUCAAAGGCUCCUUCGGAUCAGAGUUAGAAGACUGUCCCUCAGGAACGUGAACACUAUGGUGGUUCUGAUAAGCAGUGAUAUUGCAUUAGAGCCUUUUGGAACAAGAGGAUCUUUUCAGGUGGAAACUGUAAACUGCUUCAUGUUGGGCUGCAACCUUUUCUUCAAGCAAUACUUUCUUUCUGUAUCACGACUUAUGUUGCUUCCGGAGCCAUCCCGUGUGGACUGCCCUUCAGUGAAAGAAUAUGUGUGUUGACAUGUUGGAUUGUAAUCUUUGUUCCACUCUAAUGGCUUUUGGUCCUCCUCUUUCUCUUUAUGACAGAGAACCAUUUAGUGAUCCAUCUCUAUAUUGUAGCAUUGCUGGUGCUUUGCAAUACUACACUCUCACCAAGCAUAACAUCUAUUUUUCCGUGACCAAAGUAUGUCGGUUUAUGCAUGCGCAAACUCUUAUUCAUUGGCAAGUUGUCAAGCGUAUCUCAUGAUUUCCCAAAGCCACAAGUUCUUAUGGUCUUUCUGUUCAAGCUUACAAUGAUCUAUCUUUUCUUGGUUAUACUGAUGUCGAUUGGGCUAGUUGCCCUGAUAACAAGCACAAUACUAGUGGGUACAACACUUUUCCUGGUCCUAAUCUCAUUUCAUGGGCAUUUUCAAAGCAGAAGGUUGUGUCUCACUCCAAUAACGAAUCUGAAUAUAGGGGACUCACUAAUUAAUGUUGUUGCCAAGGUCACUUGGAUUGAAUCUGUCUUACGUGAGUUGCGUGUUUCUCUACCCCAACCACCAAUUUUGUUGUGUGACAACAUUAGUGCUACACACUUGGACAAACCAUGUUGAAAUACACUAUCAUUUUAUCCAUGAAAGGCUUAUGCAUCACACACUCAAAAUUCAAUACACCUCUUCUAUAGACCAACUAGUCAAUGCUAUGACCAAAGCUCUUCCUUCAUCUCACUUGUACAAUCUUCAGUGCAAGCUGAUUGUUCUUCCCAAACCACUCAACUUGAGGGGAGAUGUUAAGCCAAUUUAAUAAAUUGAUUUCUUUUGGUUAAUUUGUUAGAAUCAUUUUUAUUAGAGGUUUGUUUGUACAAUUACAUCCAUUUAUCAGGAGAGUACACGUGUACAACUCCUCUUUUAAUCUCACCAUUGUAUAUAUAUGAUACACGACCUUACUCAGAAUUGCAUAACAUUUCCUCUGCUCAUUCCUUUUCUUCUUUGAAUUUUCCCUUACCUCACUGAUUUUGAUUUAUACCUGGUGUUUUCACCUUUGGUCUCUACCUUUCUAGCCAGUUUUCUAAUUAAUCCGUAUAUGGUAUACCUGUCAACUAAUGAGGAGAAAGAGAAAAGGGGAUUGCUGUUCCACCAGCUACAUAUAAUAAUUAAUUACAAUCAUGGUAAUGGAUCCUGAAAUCCAUCCUUUGUGGAUUUUGUACGGAAUAUUGUUGUUAUGUAUGUGGGCUCACUUAGAUGUAUAUUGCUAGCCUGUCUGGGAAAUGUGAUUGCAGGUCCAGAUUAUGAUGUUGAUAUUAGUGGGAUAAGCAAGAGAUGCAGUUAACACGUAUGUGAUGGACUUGAGUAACUUUUCCAUUUCAGUCCAUUUUUUAAGAUUAUGCUUAGUCUUAUUACAAGGAAAGACCAUAAGAAUCAUGAGUCAUUGGCAAGGUAAUAUCAUUCCCUCUUUACAGGCUUCUUCACCUUUUGGUUUUUUUAAUAUCCAUCAAGAUCUUUUAAUUGGAGGACAAUUACAAGUAUAUAUAUAUGUAUUAAAAGGGGAAAAUAUUAAAACAGGAAAUUUUAGGGAAAAUAUAAUAAUUAUUUCUUCCUUCUUUCCCAUAUAGAACUACACAAAAUAAAACUUUAAUAAUUUUUUCUUAUCUUUUUUAUUAUUAUUUUUUCUUAGAAACAUCCGUGGUCUCACAAGCUUGUAAUCCUAGAUUGUUAGGCUCCUUUAACAGUGCCCCAACAUCGUGGUCCAAUGACAAGCUUCCACGCCUUAAAAUCAGAAAAUGCCAUUAAACUUUAUCAGACAUUACAGUUCAAGACAAAGCUUUCAUUUGCUUAAUGUGAUAAUGAAAUUGUUAAUUUCAUUUCGUGGGCAUCUAAAUUUGGACGAGCAAGACCUCUGAAUUCCCUGUUUUUAUCACCAGCAGAGGAGAUAAAAUCUUAAUGGUGAGAAUCUCCACGUGAAAUUUAUGUGUACUGUCAACAUAUUUUUGUUUAUAUAGUCCAGUAGCUGCAGGAAGUCUAGAUUAUAUAGGUAGCAGUAGCACUAUUUAUAGCACUCGAUAUUCGCUGUAUGAAUACAUUAAACCUUGUUUUCAAUACGCAUCACAAGCAAGUACUAGAUACUACAAGGAGUGACAGUCGCAUCAACAUUUCUUGAUAAUAGCAGUGACUGAUUUAUACACAGAACAGUACUGUACACGUACCAGUCACCAGAGAUAGGAUCUUAUUCCUACAUACGACUCUUAUUGAUCGAAGUCACUCAGUUGGGGUAGCCUGGAGUUGGAGGUUUGUGUGGUGGCUUCUUCUUUGGAGGAGGCUUUAUCUUUGGAGGCAUCAUCUUUGGAGGCAUCUUGUGUGAGUCUUCUUCAGCAUUCUCUACAGGAGGAUGGCCAGGCUUAUGACCCUUAGGUGGUUUGCCAACUGGGAUUGGUGGCUUGUGUCCUGAGAGUGGCUCCUCUUCUUCGGGAGGUUUGCCAACUGACGUUGGUGGCCCGUGUCCUGGGGGUGGCUUGUGUUUUGGGGGUGGUUUCACUCCACCGGGAGGUUUACCAAUUGGUGUUGGUGGUUUGUGCUCAAUCGGUGGCCUCUCAACUGGGGGGCGCUUGGGGUAAUCAGCGAGUGAAGAAGUGGUGAGAACCACCACUCCAAGCAACAACACUAGCAAGUAUGUGGAAGACAUCUUUGAGUUUGGCUCAGAUGGUGUAGAACUAGAAUCCUGGGUGGCCUUUUAUAUUAGUUGGGCCCUAUGCCCGAACGACAAGUGUCAUGGUGACACAUAAAGUGAUGGGGUCGAUUUGGGCCUACCGGAUUUGAAAACUUGGACAAUUCGAGAAGCGUCUCCUGACUCCGGGUUGUAAAGUGAAAGAUUAGGUAUCGACCAUUGAAGUAUGAUCACAACUUUUGGCCUUUGGCUCUCUCUACUGCCGUAUAGCUUUUUUCCUUUGGAUAUUUUUCUUAGCUAGACACAAUUAUUGAGCAGUCUAAUCUCGAAAUGGGAUUAGUAUAGCUUUAAGCAAAUUUAUUAUAGUUAGUGGAGGACUUUUAAGAGUGCAGACGACAUUUAACACAUGCAUGCAGUAGUAUAGGGGACAUAACACUAUUCUUUUUCCAAAGAUUCACAUGAUUUUUAUAUUAUAGUAUUGGCACAUUGUAUGUAGCUGGUUUUGUGGUUAAAAUUCCAUAUGUAGACACUGGCGUUUCUCCAUUUCUCACAAUUGAUGUUUACCUCCACGAUUACUAGAUUAGAUAUACCAAACAAUAACACAUUGUAUAAUCUAUCCGCCCUUCAAAAUCUACUGUAUGAUGAAAUGUUUCAUGUGUGUGUGAAGUGUUAGAAAUGCACUAUAGGCAACAUCAUCUUCUUUUGUCUAGGCUUGGGCCUCAAAUUAUACUCCCAUGCCAUGAUAAAUUUUCAUGUGCAUUCUCUAAAGAAGAGUGUCUUGAAUGUGCCAAAUCAUUUUGAUUGAUUUUAUGAUGUUAAUUGCUCCGCAUAUGGAUGGGUAUGUGCUUUAUUUGCUUAUUCAAUCCACAAUUACCUUGAACUGAAGUCCUAUUGGAGCUCUAUUAUUUUAGCAACGUCCUGUCAAAUAGGCUGCUAACUUGGGGUGGUAUGGACCCAAUGAUCCAUCUUAAUCUUGGGUUGAUUUUGUCUGACUCUAUCUAUCUCAGAGAGAACCAGGAUCACCAGUGCUGGUCUGCUUAAAGAAGACUCAGUACUGGAUUAAUAUUGGUUUGGGUCAAUAGCUUAUAAUGCAUUGAAUGCAGAAUAAACAAGAUCAAUGAAACCCAAAACACACUGCCCACACAACUUCACUCUGGUGUCUGUUAUUCAUCAAUUCUAUUCCCACAUGAACUGGUUCAAGUUUAAGAAAAUGACAACGGAUCCACUGUAUUAACUUGGUUUUGCUUGGUUUUGAGCUAGUUGCCAAACCAGCCAUGAGUUUUACCUCUAAUGUCAAUGAACAAACCCCAAAUGAACAACUGCAACAGCUUAAAGAGAAGGAAUGGAGAUGAAAAUCCCUGUUUCUUCUCAUUCUGGGGACAAAUUAGAACAUAACUACAAAGGUUCUAUUAAUUGACUUACUCUACCAUGAAUUAUGGUUCUUUGGUUUUCCAAAUUUAAAUUGUACAUGAGAUUAUUUUUUUCCUUUAUAUAUAAACAUAUUAAGGUUUUCUUAUUUCGUGGGCAAAUGCGCUAAGGAUGAAAGUCAUUUCAUUUGGCUGCAACAGCAUCUUAUAAUCAACAUGCAUAAGCAGCAGUUUUAAUUGAUCGAUUGAACACCGACUCACAAGAAUAGAUAGAAUGGUACAAGACAGCUCUUAUUAAUUUAUACUCGUUACUCAUUUUAUGUAGCCCCAUUAAGAUGGCUGGCUGGACCACCGAGGUCUGGGGGUGGUGUUGCUUGUGUGAUGCAGCGGGCCGGGCAGACACUUCUCUAGUUGCUUCUAUUUGGAGUUAGAGGAUCAGUCUCUGCCAACCUUGAGGACUCUCUACCUCAGAGGGUCCAGGUGGUGGACUCUGGUGUCGGUAGCUUUGAACUCUCAGUAGACUAGUGUGUCUUAAUCAGUCACUGCCAGAGGCUGGCGUAGGCAGUGACGAUAAGGUGAGACAAAUUACCGAAUAGUCAAUAUCGACUGCACUUGACCAUUAUAGAUUUGUUCUGACAAAAGUGAGAAAAGGGAGAAAAUCGGAUGUUGACCUUUAUAGAAAAAGAUAAGAUUUACUGCAACACAGAGCACUGAUUUGUUACUUGGAAACCAAGUUAUGCUAUUAGCUAGCCUCCAUUAGCAGCAGGGUACCUUGCUGCCUGAUCCUAAUCUGAGUUCCCAAGGUUUCAAUCUUCGUUUGUUAACGCUUCAGGAUUUGGAUAUUUCAGCUUCGUUUCUCCAUUUAGCCAACGCUGCCUGGUUUGGAUUUCAAUCCUCAUCUGGAACAUUCUUUUUUCGGUCUGAUUCAGGAAGUGUUUGGUGAUAGUUGAUUAAAAUUAAACAGUACUAUCAUACAAAUAAAGCUGAUCUAAUUUUGGUGGGCAAUAUACCAACUCAUUUAUUCUUGAAAACACCAUGGGGAAUUGGAGGUCCAUCCGAAGUACUAUUUGAUGGGACUCACAAAAAGAACAGGUGCACAUUUAUGAGAUCCGUGGAAGAGAUAACUAUGACAGCUAUGCAUGUACAACAGAUUUAUGUCGAGUUCACCUCGUAGAUAUUUUGUUUUCAGUGUCGGUGGACCCCAAAAUGGAAAUCGGAAAUUAAGGUUAUAUUUAUUUUUUUAUUUAAUUUUAAAUAGAAUUUUAAUUUUUAAUAAUAUUAAGUAUUAAAUUAUUUUUUUAAGGGUAUUUUAUUUUUAUUAAGUAUUAAAAAGUAAAAAAAAUUAAUAUGUUGCUUUUUUAUUUUAAAAAAAUUAUAUAUUUUAAUUUUUUCUAUUUACUAAAAAGUUUAUAAUAAAUUAUAAAAAAAUAAAAAAAUAAAAAACUUAAAUUCUGAAAAUAAAUUAUUUUUAAUAAAAAAAUCCAAAAAAGCAAACACCACCUAAAUUUGAGAUGACUCAAAAUUUUAUAUUUUUUUUCACCUAAAUUAUAUUCAUAAAUUUAAAAUUAAAAAAUUAGGAAGUUGAAUUUUAUUUUGGAUAAUUGGAAACUACAAGAAAUCAAUAAAAAUAUUUGGAAAAAAAAGAAAAAGAAAAACUAUCUAUAUAUUCACCCCCUUCUAAGAAACAUAACUUUAGUUUUUAACUAUUUUUUAAAAUAAUUUUUGAAAAAUGUUAUAUAAUAUUUUAUAAAACAAAAAAUCUGUUUGACAAUUUGAUAUGUCUUUAACUUAUUUUUAAUAUUUAUAUAUAUAUAUUUUAAAAAUAAUUUUAUAUUUAGAACUUUAUCUUUAAUUAUUAUAUAUAUUUAUAUAAUUAUUUUUUUUAAAACAACUCUUAAAAAAUAAGUGAAAGUAAUUGAAAACAACUCAAAGAUAUUUGAUGAAAACACUCUAAUUUGUAUUUUUGAGAAUAAAAAAAUAAAUAAAUAAAUUUCUAGUUAUCAAAUGUAUUUUUUAAUUCUUUUAUUCUAAAAAAUAGAAAAUCGUUUUUGAAAAUAAUUAUUAAACAACAUUCUUAAAAAUUCACUCGUUACAAUCUAGAUUUAAUGCAAGAAUGAUUGAAGGAGUCCUCCAAUAGAACCCAAAGUUAUAAACAUGAACAAGAAGCCCUAGAAACACCAAAGAUCUCAUAUGGUAUAUAUAUGAGCUUGAUUGAGAACUGUUUUAAAUUCAGUUUUUUUUUUUUUUUUUUUUUUUUGUUUUCAAAGUCAAAACAAGUUUACUUUUAAUUUUUACUUCUUUUUUUUAAUUUUAUAAAUAACAGUUUUUUAAUAAUUUAUUUUGAAAACAUGAUUAUUUUUAAAACUUAUAAUGAAAAUAGGAAUUUUUUUUUUAAUAUCAUGGUUAUUUUCCCUUCUUUUAAGGAGGGCUAUUUUAAAAAUAAAUUUACAAAUAUGAAAAAUGAUUCAAACUAAAGCAGUACAAAUAAAAAACAUUUUUAAGAAAUAUUUAAAAAUAGAGAAAAUUAUUUGAGAACAUUUGAAGUCCUUAAAUAGACUUUUGUUUUAGAAAAGGCAAGAUAAUUAUUUUUGAAAAUUGUUUUCAUAAUGAUAUGCAAAAACCUACGUAAAAACCAUAAUUAUAAUCGGCCACAUAUCAAAUCUACUAAAUAUGAAAAGUAAGUACAUAAUUAUAUUUGACUUAGAUGCAAGGAGGAAAAUGUCGCGAUAUUAUCGCCGAAAUAUCGUGUGUCGAAGGGUAUCGACACGAUUUUUCUUGCAGAAAUAUCGGCCAGUCGAUUUUUCGGGAUAAAUCUCGAGAAAUCGGCAAUUUAUCGCGAUAUAUCGGCGAUUUUUCCUCGAUAUAUCUUCUGGUCAACGCGGGUCAACGGAGUCAACACGCUACAGUGAAAGUCAAAUGUGCUACAAUGUCCCCGCUACAAUCACCUCCCCAAACAAAUUGCCAAAUUGCUUCCGAGGGGAUUUGAACCAGCCUUCUUGCCAUUUGGGCUAACUCGCCCUUAUGAUAUAUAUUGCAUUAAACAUAUAUAUACUUAAAGUCCUUAUAUAAAGAAAAUGUUAAAAAAAUAUUUUAAAGAGCAAAUUAAUUAUAAUUAUUUUAUAAUUAAAAGCAAAAUUUUCUUUUAAUUAAUUACCAAAAAUAUAAAAAUUAUAUAAUUUUCUUCAUAAUGUUUUUAAUAUCAUUAAUAAUUAAUUAAAUAUUAAAAAAUUAUAUAUAUAUAUAUAUAUAUAUAUAUAUAUAUUAUAAUUUAUUUUAUAUUGUUUAAUACAAUUGAAUUAAAUGGAUCAUAUUUUAAUAUUAAUAUAUAUUUUAAAAUUAGACAUAUUGUAAUCAAAUAUCAUAAUAUUAUAUGUAAUUUAAUAAUAAAUGUACACUUAUAAAAUUCAUAUUUUUAUCGAUGCAUACAAUAUUAUUAUCAAAUAUGAUAAAUCAUGUUAUACAUAUAUCAAAAUUUUCAAUAAAAUAACUUUAAAAUGUCUAUUAUACUUCUAAUUAUAUUAUUAUGAGGUUUUCUUUACAUUUUCAUGAGUUUUAAACAAUUUUAAGCACCAAUAUUUUUUUCCAAAAUAUCCACCGAUAUAUCUCCGAUAUAUCCAAUAUAUCUCCGAUAUCUCCGAUAUAUCCGUAAAAUCGAAGUACCGAUAUAUCCGUGAUUACCGAUAUUUUCAUCAUUGCUUAGAUGCAACCUUCUUCCAAAUGACAUACUUUAGUCAAUACUUAUAUUUUUUCGUUUCACUUCUUUGAUACAACACCUCAUGGAUUUAUUGUUUAAUUUAUUUGUAAUUAUAAAACUAUUUUUCAUUUUUAAUAAGACUUGAAUUAAUUUAAUAAAUAUUAUAUAAUUUGAAUUUAUAAUUCUUUUUAUAAAAUCAAAGUAUAUUAAAAAAAAAACAAUUUAUCCGAAGAAAGUUUUUUAUUUUUUAUUUUUUAAAACCGAUUUUAAAAAUAACUAGCUAGACACCCUUAUUUUGAUAAAAUACGAAAUAAAAGUGUAAAAACAACAUGGCCAAAUAGGGGCUUAAAUUUUAUUUUUAAAACAUUUUUUUACACUAAAGUGCAUUUUAAAAACACCAUCAAAACCAACUACAAGUUAUGCUUCUUCCCGUAAUAGAAAUAUUUUAGGCCAAAAUAGAACCUCCCCAAAUAAAGACCCUAUACUAAACUCCUUUUCAUUUUAUUAAUACAAAAGUGGGGAAAAAAGGUCUAUGCUCACCUAAAAAACAUGAAUAUUGUGAAUUCACCAUUUCUAUAAGGAAGUUGAAAACUUCAAAAUUUUAUCAACAAAUUCUCUAAAAUCCUCAAAAUAUAUAGGGCCUGUUUCACAAAGUUUUUUAAAAUUUGUUUUUAUAAAUUGCUUUUAAAAUAUAGAAUAAAUAACAGUUUUUUAGAUUUUUUGAAAAAUAAGAGUGUUUGGUAAGAUGUUUUUUUUUUUUUUUUUUUUUUUAAGAAUUAAAUAAAAAAUAAAAAAAUUGUUUAGAUAAAAGAAUUUGUAUUGUUUUUAAAAACAAUGUCUUACUUUUAUGUUAUAAAAAUUUUAUUAAUUUAAUUUAUAAUAAUAUGAAAUGAAAUUCAAGUUAAGUCUUAUUAAAAAAUACAAAUUAAAUCUAUAAUUAUGCAUGAGUUAAAGAUAAAUAUAUAUUUUUUAAAACUAUAAAAUAAAUUUUCUAUUAUAGUGAAACAAAAAUUACUAUAAAAUAAAAAUAAUUUUAAUAUUCAUUUUUAAUACAAGUCAAAUAAGUACUUUAAUUAAUUUUUUUUAUCAUGAUUUCUUAUGUUUUUUUUUUUUUCUAGAAAUUAUUUUAAGUAAUAUAACUAAUUUUUUUUUUAAUGUUUUAUAAAAAUAAGGAUAUUUGGCAAGUUGUUUUUAUAAAAGGAUUUUAAAAAUAAAUGGAUUUUUUUUUUUUUUAAAAAAAGAACAAAAUGAUUUGUUUGAAUAAAUUGUUUUGAUUUUGUAAAAACAUUUUAAAUUCAAUUUAUAUAAUAUUAAUUAAUUAAAUUAAAUUGAAGUUUUAUUGAAAAUAAAAAUAAUUUUGUAAUUAAAAUUAGAUUAAAAAAUAUAUAGGUUUUAAUAAAUCGUAAAUAGUAAUAUUAUAAUAAAAUUAUAAAUUAUAUUUUUAACAUAAAAUAUACUAUUUAUUACAUAUUAAAAAAAAUAUUUUAUUAUAUUAAUAAUUUUAUGGUAUUAAUGAGUUUAUUAUUUAAGUUUUAAAUUAUUUUUAAAAAUUAAUAAAUUUGUUAACAAAUGCAAUGUACUAAAUGUGGUUUAAUUUGGAGUUAAUUUGUUUAGGGAAAAAAAUAAAAAAUAAAAAUCUUAUGUAAAAGAGAAAUAAUAGAGUGUGUGUGUUUUUUUUUAUUAUUUUUAAAAAUCAGUAAAAAGAACUUUUACUUAUUGCCUAAAAAUUAUUCUCUAUUUUAUUUUAUUUUUUAAAUCUAGAAAUAGAUAACAAUAAUAAAAAAAAUUAAAAAAGAAAAAUGUUUUUUAAAACUCAGACUUAUAAUUGCUUUUGUUUCUCAUUCGCACCCCUGGAUUCCUGGAUUCUAAACACAAAAUUAAGUUGAAUCGUCCAUCUAUCUUGUAAGCCAAGAAUUCACAUAGAAGAAAUAAUCGGAAUUUGAUUUGAUAUCAGAUUUAGAGUGGCUCACUACUCAUGCAUUGUCCCACAAUAGUAAUGCUUUGGGCCGAGAUAAACCCAUUUGUGGGCCCAAAUAAAACCCCUGGUUUGAAAACAUCGAUUUUACAGUGGCCCAAAAGAUUAUCUAUGAGGGGAAGAUAACUUGGAAGUCAAGCAAACACAUUUAUCGCUAACUUUUCUCUAAUUAUAAAAUUAUAACUUGGUCUUCUACACGUCUCACUUAAGAGGCGGAGCCACUUGGCACUACCUUUCCAUAUUGUAAAAGGAGAAGAAGCAGAAGGAGAAGAUUCUUAUGCCAUUCCACACACCAUGGCUAGUACUGCUAUGCUGCUUGGCCCGCCGGCUCUCCGCCAUCCUAAUUCUCCCGCCGGCACUGUCUUUGAAGAUGGGGUCAUUCUAACGGAUUCCCUGAUCGUCCGCACCAGUAAUCUGGAGCUUUCUGAAAAACCGCCACUGGAAUCCCUGGCGUAGUGCUCUGUCAGUGGGGAUAUUGCUAUGGAUUGUUUGGAUUCCCAAGCCCACAAUCUUCAUCUUCCCGGGAAACCGCCGAUGGGCUUAACGGAAAACAAGUCUCCGACCUUUUUGUCUUCCGGGAACCCGUGCUUGGACUUCUUCUUCCAUGUGGUUCCCGAUACGUCGUCUGAUGAUCUGAUCCGACGGUUUGAGUUGGCUUGGGAAUUCAAUCCGCUGACGACGUUAAAACUGAUAUGCAACUUGAGAGAGGUGAGAGGCACCGGAAAAUCUGACAAAGAGGGUUUCUACACGGCGGUUCUCUGGCUCCACGACCACCAUCCCAAAACCCUAGCCUGCAAUGCUAGGGUGUUGGCCAGCUUCGGUUAUUUCAAGGAUUUUCUCGAGAUUCUCUACCGGCUUCUGGAGGGCCCUAAAAUUCGAAGAAUCGAAAAGAAAGACUGGCUGGAUCGAAAAGGAAGGAAGAAAAAUUCCCGGAAAAGGAACUCAAUAUUCAAGCGAGAAAAUAGGCCUGGAGUUGAAUUUCCUGUAGAAGAGAAGGAUGUGGAGUAUAUGGUGGAAGAAUUUGUGGAUAAAGAAAAGGCUAGGGUACUGAGAAAGGAGAGAGAACUUGCUCUUGCCAAAAGAGCCCUGCACAAGUAUUCUACUGAUUCUAAUUAUCAGUUCUUACAUGAUCAGAUUUCAGAUUUAUUUGCUGAACUUCUGAAAUCUGAUAUUCAGUAUUUAAACUCCGGUGAGCUUUACAAGAUUAGUCUCGCAUCCAAAUGGUGUCCCACAAUUGAUUCUUCUUAUGAUAAAUCCACCUUGAUAUGUGAAAAUAUUGCUCGAAAGGUUUAUUCUCGCGAGGAAUAUAUAUCCAGAAUACCAAGGAAUUGAGGAGGCUCACUAUGUUAAUAGAGUCAGGGAUAGGUUGAGAAAACAAGUACUUGUUCCAUUACGUAAGGCCCUGGAGUUGCCAGAGGUUUUCAUGUGUUCGAACCAGUGGGGAUCACUUCCCUACAACCGUGUGGCUUCAGUGGCCAUGAAAUCAUACAAGAGCCUCUUCUCAAAACAUGAUACAGAGCGGUUUGGUGUGUAUCUUGAGAAAGUGCAAACUGGGAAGGCUAAGAUUGCAGCUGGUGCAUUACUUCCCCAUGAGAUUAUAGCUUCAUUGAAUGAGGAGGAUGGCGAGAAAGUUGCAGAGCUUCAGUGGGCGAGAAUGGUGGAAGAUUUAUCAAAGAAUGGGAGGCUCACAAAUUGCAGUGCGGUAUGUGACGUAUCAGGAAGUAUGAGUGGAACUCCAAUGAAGGUGUGUGUGGCUCUGGGGCUGUUAGUUUCAGAGCUCAGUGAAGAUCCAUGGAAAGGUAAUGUAAUUACUUUCAGUGCAAGUCCUGAGCUUCACAAGAUCCAAGGAGACAGCCUUGUAUCCAAGACUGAAUUUGUGAGGAUGAUGGAAUGGGGUGCGAACACUGAUUUUCAGAAAGUUUUUGACAGAAUCUUACAAGUAGCAGUGGAGGGAAAUCUGAGUGAAGAUCAAAUGAUAAAGAGGGUUUUCGUUUUCACUGAUAUGGAGUUUGAUGAAGCUUGUGGGAGGUAUAACUAUUGUGAAUAUGACUAUGAUAUGGAGGAAAUUGAUGAGAGUCAGAAGGCAUCUCAGAAGUGGGAGACAGAUUAUGAAGUGAUACAGCGGAAAUUCCAGGACAAAGGAUAUGGAAAAGUUCCGGAGAUAGUGUUUUGGAACCUUAGAAACUCAUCAGAGACUCCAGUGAUGGCCACAGAGAACGGGGUGGCCUUAGUAAGCGGGUUUUCGAAGAAUCUGUUAGACCUUGUUUUUGGAAGGAGGUGGAAUUCUGACCCCUCAGGAUGUGAUGGAAUUAGCCAUCUCUGGUGAAGAUUACAAGAAACUUGUUCUAUUUGAUUAAGAUAUCAAGAGAUUUAUCAAUAAUAAUAUGUUUUUUUUUUUCUAUGUGAAAUACAUGUAAUAUUAACUAUGGAGUUAUCAAAGUUCUGGAAAUUUAAUUAUUUCUUCUUUUCAAGUUUUGUUUGUCUUUGUUAGGAAUUCCCCUUGGGCGGACCCAGCUGGGGACUUGGAUUGAGGAAGUAAGGAGGCGAAAUUGUGUUCUUCUAUGGACAGAGAAAAAAGAUAAAAAUAAAAAAUAAAAAAGGAGGUUAUUUGCAUUUGGAUGUCAUGUGGUUUCAGGGUACAACUACAAGUUCGAAAUUGUACAUAAUGUGAAAAUUCCUGUGUGGAGAACAGCAUAAAUAUGUAUCUCAGUGUGUUUUGUUUGAGCUAAUUGGCAAAUUCGCUUUAAACAUGGUCACAUGGAUGCAUAUUUAUUUGUGAAAUGAUAGUAGUCGAUUACUUGGUCAGUAAGGUUUGUAUCUCUAACUCCAACAUCUUAUUGUAGUCUUUUAAAAUGUCAAAAGUUUAAUGCUAGCUUGAGAAAUUUUGGAAUGGAGACAUUCUAAACAAAGUUAAUAAUCCAUGAGACUUGGUAAAACCGAUCAGAUGAUGCUUACGUACAUGAAUGCCUUCUUUAAGCCGUAUCCUAUUUUCAUUGAAUGAGACGUGCCAUCUAGUUUUGUUCUUGUCUUGAUUGGAUCAUGAUCCCGGGAAUUGAUUACUGUUCUGAAUUUGCGAAUGUUCAAGGUAUUAGAGAAAGUUAAUAUUAUCGUUAAUUUACAUAUUAGUAUUUAUCUAGUUAUUAUAUAUUAGUUUGAAUUAUAAUAUAAUAUAGAAUUUGAAUCAAGUUUACUAUUAGUUUGAAUUACAAUAGGAAAUAAAGUUUGAAUUAUAGUAUAACUCAAAUAUAUUUGUAUAUAAAUAUCCAUCUUUAUCAAUGAGAAUAGUAAACCAUAUUUUUCUCUAUCUUCUUCUUUCUCUAUAUAUAUGGUAUCAAAGCCUCCAAAUCCUAAACCUAGUCUCAACUUAGAGCAAAUUUAGGGUGCAGGGUUUAGGCCCCGCCUCCCCCAACCCUUACCACAAAUGGUAGUGACCUUGUUAUGCCUAUGUAUUGUCAAUGCCUCAUUUUCUAUGGUCUUCAAUACAAUAUCUAGUUUCAAUGUCUCUUUCCUUACUAUCUCCAAUGCAAUAUAUUGAUUUCAAUAUCUCUUUACAACCAAGAGCUCCAAAUUUUCCUGGUUCAAAUCUACCAUAAUUUUUAUUCUCCUUUGCUUUUUACCAAUAUUAGUUCCCCUAAUUUAAUAUAUAUCUCUUUAUUACCUUCAACUCUACCUCUCUCUUUCUUUAAAAGCUUCCUCAAAGAUUUGAUUGCUUUCUUGCAUGUUUUGGGAAAACAAACAUGCUCAUAUUCUAUUACCUCUACUUGAGAUCUGCCUUAUACUCUACCUUCUUCUUUACCUCCUAUAUCAUCUACUACAUUAGCUUCAAAAACAUUAUUUAGUUUGAUGCUAAAUAAGGCUCCUAAUCCUACCCUUCCUUCAACUAACUUUCUUUUACAAGUCCCUCAAAGUUUUUUUUUUUUUUUUUUUGGAAAUUUGGCUUAGAAAGAUUUCAUUACUCUUACCUAAUCUUUCAACCAUCAAGUCGAAUCCACUUAUCUCUUGAAUCCAAGGAGACUACCCUCCACAAAAACAAGGAGAUUGACCCCCACAAUAACAAAGAGAUUGUCCUCCAUAGAAACAAAGAGAGCUUCCUUCAUGGAAGCCGAAUACAUCGCAAUCUAUUUUCUUUCUCUCAAGAUCAAAUCUCCAAUCGGAGCUCCAUCUUGUGGGGAUAUAUUAGAAAAAGUUAAUAUUAUCCUUAAUUUACAUAUUAGUAUUUAUCUAUAUUAUAUAUUGAAUUAGAAUAGAAUAUAGAAUUUGAAUUAAGUUUACUAUUAGUUUAAAUUACAAUAGGAAAUAGAGUUUGAAUUAUAGUAGAACUCAAAUAUAUUUAUAUAUAAAUAUCCAUCAUUAUCAAUGAGAAUAGUAUUCCAUAUUUUUCUCUUUCCCUGAGGCUUCAGAAUGUGAUCUUGAACAUUUGAUCUUUUGGAUUCUUCUUGUUUCGGUGGUUUAAUAUAAUGGAAUGUUUAAUUAUAGCCUACUUUAUCACCAUGGAUGUGCUCCUGCAGAUUUCUUGAGGGUGAUGGUUAUUUUGUCAUGUUUCUUGAAUGGUUUGCAUCAGCUGCCUGAGCUGUUGUUGCUGGUCACUUUUGCAACCAGGGAAAGAAUCAUGGCUUUGGAGAAGCCAGCUUCUGUUUUUGUUGCCCAGCUGUUAGUUCACUAAGAUUGGGGGUCCUAACAUGUAUGUAUAAUCAUAAGCAAGGAAAUUUUAUGUCUUACGCUAGAUAGGUACCAUGAUAUGAUGUUUGAUUGAUUUAUUAACUCUACCUGUUUCAAAAGGCAUCAACAUUAAUUUUACCCUUUUAACACAUUGGAUUGUUUGACCUUACGAGAUUUUCUAUUUCUGUACUAUUUGAACUGCAAUCGUUAUGGUCCUUAGGUCUCUAAACCUUCGUUUAAAAUAAAAGUAAGGAGCACACAUAGUAAAAGUUAAUUUUGGGUAACUUUUAAAACAAAGAGAAAAGUAAAAGUUGUUUUUGAGAAAAACAUAUAGAAAUUGAAAGAUUUUUUAUUUUGAGAAAAAAAAGUCAUAGAAAAGAAAUAAUAUCCCCAUAUAAGUAGAUAUGAUCUAUCCGAAGUGUAGCUACUCUCCUGGAUUUAUUCUAACAUUUUAAAAUUUUUCUCAAUGGGCAAAGGAAUAUCAAAUCAAGCUUGAGUAGGAUUAAUUUCUUAAUUUUUAAAAUAACUUAUAAUUAAAAUUUUUUGGUGUUUUCUUUUUUGGACAAUUUUUUAUGAAGACUCUGAAUCAUGCAAGAGAUAUGGUUAUUUUAAAAAAAAAAAUAAUUUAAAACUCAAAUACAUAAUCAAUGUCACAAAUUUAUAAACAAAAGGUUUUUAAAAAAUACUAUUAUUUCCCCUCUACACAUAAUUUUACUUUUCCGAUUUAUUUAUUUUUGUUGGAAAACAGUCUUCAAAUCAAGUAAAAUUAAUAUGUUAAAUUUGUUAAACAAAUAAAUUUUAAAAUACAAUUUGGAACUCAAAAAUCAAUUCAAGUAAUGCUAAAAUUCAAAAAAUCAAAUUUGGAAUAAAAUGACUUUGUAAAUUUUUUUACUAAACAAAUGAAUUUUAAAUCAAGUGAGAUUUAAUACAUUGGAUUUUUAUGAGAAUAGUAAUUUUAAAAAUUAAUUUGGAACUCAAAAAUAGACACAAUAAAUACCAAAAAUCAAUGAACCAAAAUUGGUUUGGAAUAACUCCAUAAUUUUUUAUUUAUUUAUAUAUUUAUUUUUUUGUGCACACGAAUUUCUUACUAAGCAUAUUGCUUCCAAAUUGAGAAAAAUUUACUAUUUAGAUUUUUUUAAUGAGUUUAAUGGUAUUUAAAAAUAAUUCAAAAAUUCGAAAAUUGACUAAUUUAAUAUUAUAAAUUCAUAAACCAAGACUAAUUCAAAAUGCAUUGGGGGCUAAGGGGGUUGAAAUUAAUGCUCCAUUUGGUUGUGGCCACCAAUUGGCAAUGGCCACCAAUCAACCAAUCAAGGUGGCUAAGGGGGUUGAAAAUAGGGACAAUGGGGUGGGUUUGGGACAGGACACUCAUAUCCCAUUCCCAUCCCAAUUACACAGUUAUUUCCCAUCCUUAUUCCAAACUUGUGUUGGGGCAAGUUGAUUUGUUCCCAUCUUUGUUAACGAAAUGACUAAUAACCUCAUCCUCUCCUUGUCUUAGAUGUACAUUUUCUCAAAUUUGGUCAGGUAUGAUUGAUUCAAGCCCUAACCUUAAUUGGUAAUGAGUGGAUACCACACCUAAUUGCAUUCUUCUUUCGUUGCAAAAUAAUGAGAUUAUAAUAAUCUAGCAAAUAAGAAAAAAUAGUAUGGAAGUUCAAAUUAACACCAUAACUAUCAAUAAUUUUAAGCUUAUAGAUGACUUAAAUGAUUGAAAACUAAUGCAAAAUACUAAAAAAAAAAAAAAUCAUCUAAAGAAUUCACAAGAGAAUAGAACGAACAAAACCAAAUAGGAACAUGGGUCAACAUUAGUUACAGAUUUUGAUCCCUUUCAAGGCCAAUCUUUGAACCAAGACUUCAUCAAAUCUACUACUUCAAAGGCUUUUGUGUUCUUCUUGAGUUGUACUCUGGAACAAAGACUUCGAGGUGAUGCUUUAGAUGAUUGCAUUACACAUAUUUAGGGUAGGGAGAUUGGAGAAGCUUGAAGAUGCCAACGAUGGGUACAAUUGAGUGGUCAAUAAGAACAAUGUGGCCUAUGACUAGUUUGAUGUCAUGGUAUAGGAGUUUUGGGCAUUGAGGUGAAAGCAAGAGCAACAUGGAAUUGAUUUCAAAGUCUUUCAAUUAGUGUAAAGGAGGAAGAAGAAGUGGUAUUGAUCCUAGAAAUAGUGUUUUAGGUGUUGCAUUAGAGGAAAAGAAAAAGAAAAAGAAGGAACCAUUGGAAUUAGUACGAGUGUGAAGAGAGAAGUGUAUACAUAAGGGGAAGUAAAAGCAAAGUUCUAAAAAUUUAUUUUUUUAUUGGUGGUGUAUGGUUGCAUGAUUAUCCCUAUAAAUAAUAGGAGUUUUUUGGUGUUCUACUAGUAGUUGAAGGAUAAUUUCAUAAGAUAAUAUUUAGAGCGGGGUGGGGUGAGUUGUGACAAAAUCCAUACCCGUCCCAAACAUUGGUUCAGGUUUUUAAAAUAUUUUCAAACUUAUCAUAUACCCAAUUUUAUAUUUCAUACUUGUCCUAAUAGAGACAGGUUAGUCAGGGUUACUUGAGUAGCCUACAAAACUAUCAUCCCUAGUUGAAAUGCUCUUUUUGGCAGUGGCAGCUAGAAGCUCGAUCGAUUGACCUACAAGACUAGUUGUCAUCAUUUUAAAAAGAGUUUUGGCUUUGGUUGUGAGUGCAAUUGAAUCUAAACUAACAUUUCCUUAAUGCAUCUACUUCAAUCCUAAACUUCUUACUUAAGCCUCAAUUGUUGUUAAGAUUUUGGAAAACCCAUUUCCUUAAAUUGUAAAUUUAAGAAAAAAAAAAUUAAAAGUGAGACAUUUCUUGAUUGAAUGUUGUUAAAGGUCCCUUGGAAUUAAGACUUGGUUGAAGCCUUGGAAGAUUAGCAGAACUCUCAACUUAUGUUUGAACCUUGAGGAGAGUGGACGUAGGCCAAAAUUUUGUCAAACCAUUAUACAAAUUGAGUUUGAAUUCUCAUUUCUUGAUUUCUUAUUUAUUUGCUUUUUCUUAUUAUUACUUGAAUUGUCAUUUGCAUUCAUUAAUGUUAAAAUUGGUUAUAAUUAGCCAACACUAAUUCUCUUUCCCCUUCCCUUAAUUUCUUGGGUGUAAACCUAGGUUGGAUUAACUAGAUUUUAUCAAAUCUAUUAAGAUGGUAAAAGAAUAAUUAUUCUUAACAUACAUAAGAUCAUCUUCAAUCAAAUGACUCAUUGGCUGAUAUGUUGAAUUUGCUUAUUACUUGCAACUCAAAAUUGUGUUCUAGUUGAUAUGUCAAGUCCUGAGUGUAUGGACAUUAAAUUUGUAGUACGUGAUGAGUAUUUAGAUGGUCCAAUUCCAAGAAAGUGAUUGAAAACUAGUUCAAGAAAGGUGCAAAAGGGAAUUGUUUUGGUAUUUUCGUUUUUAUUCUUGAAGGUGGCAGAGCUAAAAUUUGAGAAAUCAAGCAAAACAUACUGAAAUUACAUUGAAAGAAAGAAAAUGGGAGUUAAUGUCUUGCAGUACAUGAUAAGGACUUCAUGCAUGUAGUGUGACCCAUGUCUUGGACUGAUGCCACACUCACGGUUACACUUAUACCCUUAGUUCUCUCUUUACUACCUUAGCUAACCUAGAUCAGGUUAUGAGAUAGGCACCUCACCACACCAUUACUUGCCCAUUAAUUAGUGACAUUUUCAAGCAAUGAGGUAACAUGGUGACACCAAGAGGGUAUAUUCCUCACCCCCAACAAGCCUAGACCUGGUCUAAAAAAAAUGGAGAAAAAUGACGUGUUGUUAUGCAGAAAUAUAGCAACCAUGCCUUCCUCAUUACUUAGAUUCAGAAUGUGAAGGUGAAAUUGAGAAACAGAAACUCUUGAAACCAAAAUGAAAAUUGAUACUUUUACGAAGAAUUACAACAACAUUAGAGGAAGACUACAUUCUUCCUCUUUAUUCCUACAUUUCUACACUACUUCUACUCCACUCCAUAUUUCUACAUACAUCUUUAAUCAGUCUUCCCUCCUUUAUAUAGAGCCAUCUUCACACAAAUUCCGCAAGGUAGAAAAGAGGAAUGAAACUUGGAGCAAGGUUCGACUACUGGCUGUAGCUUGUCAAGGCUGAAAGUGAACUUUUUUUCUUGGCUUUUCUGGGCAUAGGUAGUAACUUGUAGGUUCCUUUUUGGAAUGAAAAUGGUACGGCUAGAACAUGUGGCACUCUCUUGUUGGAUGAUGUGUCAAGCAUGUGGCAGCCAUCUAGUGGAGAUUAUGUCAAUUUUGGGAUGGAGAGUUGGCAUCCAAUUGCAAAGAAAUAUGACAUCUACCAACAUGCAAUGUCAACCUAUGUAGAUCAUAUGAAGAUAGAGAGGAAAAAUAUAGAAAUGGAUAUAUAACUAGAACUAGCUUUUUAUUAAAUGAGACGGAGAGCCAACAAUGAAGGAAAAUCAAAAUUUUUGGCUCAUAUCAAAGAAUUCACAUUGUGUUACCCUAGGUUUUCUUAAAACUUACUUUUAUGAUAAUAAAAAAUCAUUAUUGUUUAAUCCUUUGUUUUAAACGCAUGUUUAGCAGGUUGUAAAAUGUAAAUAUCUUUCGAAAUUCAAAUAUGAAGAUAUGACAUCAUUUCAAGCAAUAUAGUCUCUAGGAAUUAAUGUAAAGCUAAAUUAAGGUGCAAUUAAGUUAGUUCAAUGCAUUAUUUUAAGAAACUUGACCUAUCAAAACCUUGUCUUACUUCAAAGCCUCUUUUUCUUUUCUUCCAACUAACAUUUUAAUAAGUGAUCGCAAAAGUACAAAAUUAGAUGAAAUCCAUUUCAAUGGUUAAAAUGAUCAAAUUCAAACUUUUUCUAAGUAUCUUUUAAAAGCAUCAAUAUUGAAAGACAAUUUUAUAUUUAGUCAAAGCUUGGACAGAGCCAAAAAGCACACAAAAAUUUAUAUUUUCUAGCUCUCUACCUUGGAUGGUCUCUUGAUCCUACUUGGAGAUGUGCAUAAAUAAAAGGAUUUGAAAAUGACAAUUGACUAAGUAUGUAGUCAAUCAAUUACUCAUUGAUUGACUAGUUGAUCAAUUAACUUUGCAACAUCAUAUGCAAUCCUAAUAGCUAGUCAUCUAAUCAACUAGGUAGUAAAUCAAUAGGCCAAAAAUAUGUUUAUAAUGACUAUUUUGUACAAAAACCACUUAUAUAGUUAAAUAUAAUGCAUUUCAUUUAUAAAUCUUCUAAUUCUUGAAUAACAAUCCUAUCAUCCUUUGAAAGUUUUUAUUACACCUUUUCUACAUUUGUUCUAAAACUUAUACAUCACCCUUAAUUGUACCAUGAGAACCUAGCAUUUUUUUUUUUUUUUUUGUAUUUCAUCAAAGUUAGCUCUUGUACUCAUUGUUGUAUUAUUUUUAUUGUAACUUAGAGAGCGAGUGUUUUCAAGUGAGUGAAAUUGACUUGUAAAUAUUGUAAAGAUUCAUUGAUAUGUAUCUCAAACUAGGUGUACAAGUUGAAACAUUUGCUAGUAGAUUUUCUCAAGAUUUAGAAUGAGCUUAAGGCUAUCGAAUUAGGUGGGGUUGCGCCAAACCAUAUCACAUCGUUGUUUGCACCUUUUUUUUCACUCUCUUUUACUUAGUUGCUCUAUAUAUAUUGUCUAGCAAUAUCCUAAAGGCUUGAUGGGCUAGGGAGCAUCCCUCUGAAUGAAAAAUUUUCAUUCAAUUCUUAGUUGUAUUACGCAUAUAUAAAAUGCCUCAUUGUUUUAAUGGUAUUCAGUCGUGGCACCACAGAUAUGGACAUCUAAAUUUUAAAAGUUUGAAACUUUUAGCUAAAGAAAAUAUGGUGCUUUGCCUUUUUGGAAAGCAUGUUGAUGAAAUCCAUGAGAAUUGUAUACUUGGAGAGCAACAUCGAGAUAACUUUUUUUUUUUCUUUUUUUAUAAUGCAUUGUUUGUCCAAAUUCCGUACAAAUUAGGCCACCACAUGUUCAUAAUUCUCCCUUCUUGAAUUUGAAAACUCGGACAAUUUGACAAUGCGACACCUAAGUCCGGUUUUUAAAUGCUAAAGUGAAAGGGCAGGUAUGGACCAUUGAAAUGUGAUAACAACUUUUGGCCUUUUCCUUUUCUCUGUAGCCAUGUUGUCUCUUUUUAAUUUCUUUUGCAUGAUUUUCUUACCUAAACAGAAUCAUAGACUUGUUUAAUCUCUAAGUGGGAUUUCAUCCACCUUAAGCUACUGUAUUAUAUCUCGGUGGAGGACAACCGACAUAGAGCACAUGCAAGUGGGUAUAUGGGACAUGAAAUAUCUUCUUAUAAAGCUUGUUUUGCAGUUAAAUUAAUUGGAUAAGUAGACACUGGCGUUUCUAAAUUUCCCACCUAAGAUAAUGACCUUAUCCUUGACUGCUAGAUACACAAACAAUUAUACCUUCAAAAUCUACUGUGAAGUGCUUCAUGUAUGUGUGAAGUAUUAGAAAUUUCUUUCUUGGCAACUUGUUUUUUUCUUUGCGGUCUACUGAUAGGUUUGACUAAAAUUAUAUUCCCUGUCCUGCUAAUUAAUUUUCACGUGCAUGCUCAAAAGAAGAGUAUGACCUUAGUGCACCAAAAUCACUUUCAAUAAUUUGUGAUAAGUUUUUUUGCAUGACAUUAACCUUAUUCAUUUAGAUAAUGUUUAGUUCUCAUAAAUAUUAAGAAAAUGAAAAUAAAUAUUAAGAAAAAUAUUCUUAUAUUUGAUUGUAUUAUGAAAAAUAUCAUAAAAAAUCAAAUAUAAUUAAAAUUAAUUAAUAAUUUAUAUAUUUUAAAAUUAUUUAAUUUUUAUAUUAAAGAUAUAAUAUAAAUGAAAUGAGUUUUAAGUAUUAUAUAAAAAUGAUUUAUUUAUUUAUUUAUAUAUAUAUAUAUAUAUAUAUUUAGUUUUUCUCUUUAUUUUAUUUUCCUUAUGUUUUCCUCACAUUUUCCGGAAUCAAAGAUAGGGAAAUCCACAAUUACCUUCAACUGAGUAGAUUCUAUUGUUUUAGCAAUGUUAGGCUGCUAACUUGUGGUGGUACGAACCAAAUGAUCCAUGUUAAUCUUGGCUUGAUUUAAUUUGGCUCUAUCUCAGAGAACUCAAGGAUCACGUCAACUCUGGUUUCUACUAUUCAGGUCCAUUCCCAGAUGAACUGGUUCAAAUUUGAGAAAAUGGUAACAGACCUUUAGUGAUAUUGGUUUGGAGCCAGUUGCCAAACCUGCCCUGAGCUUUACCACUAAUGUCAAGGGACAAAGCCAUUUGAACAAAAACAAUAGCUUCAAGAGACUGAAUCGUGGAUGAAAUCUGAUCCACAUUUCUUCUCAUUUUGGGAAAAAAUGAGGACUUAACCACAAAGAUUCUACUGCCUCAUAGUGCUUUUCCUGAUCUAAGGUUGGCUCGUUUCCCAAAUUGUGAGGUGCACGUGCCACUCUCACGCUCAGGAGUGUAUCCACGUGGUGGACAUAAGAUGGUGGCUUAAUAUCUGGUGUCGGUGGCUUUACUUUACUAGGAGAGUAGUGUGUCUUCAUCUCAUUCACUGCCAGAGGGUGGCGUAAGCAGUGACGCUAAGGUGGGGCACAGUCAAUAUCAUUUGCAUUUGACCAUUAUAAUUUUCUCCCGGCUUUAAAGUAACCUUAUCGUGAUAAUGGAUUACUAGCACUAGUUCAGAUGACAGUCAUGUUAAAUUCGGACCAUGUUUGUGUCACAUUAUCAGCAACCAUGUGCUUGUGGUUCAUGCUAUCUGCAACUAAACUUGAUAUAUAACCAGGUGAACUUCAAUCUAAAUUCUGGAAGUACUCAUGUGAUAGAUGGUGCCUGUCUGCAGUGAGUGUAUCUAUAAGAGGGAAGGCUUGGCAAAUGUUCAGUUUUCUGGGAAUUCAACAGGGAUCUAAAAUAGAUUGUUUUCUUUGCUGAUUUCAAUGGUUGAAAUUUGAGAAGAUUGUGUCCACAUAACACAACUAUUACUGGUCCUUCUGUUGCAAUUUAUCCUCUAAGGCUCUAACAUGUCUUCCAAUUCCCACUUCCCACUUCCCUGUUACUCCAGGAAAGCUGUUUCUGUCAUUGUGAAGAAGAAAAGAGACUGUACAUAUCGAUGCUUUUAAGUGGACUGGAGAAUUCAUAUCAGGUGGUCUGCAGCCAUACAUGCCACUUUGUGAAGGUUGGAACAGUCAAUCACUAGGCUAUAUUAGUGGGGCCCAGCCACUUCAAUCAAGGACAAGUCUUCAUACUUAAAGUCAAAUUCUGCCUUUAGUCUCAUUAUAAAUUGCUGUUUAAAUAUCAAGCAAACAUUUGUUUAAUGCGAUUAAGACAGCACUAACUCAAUACUUGUUCUAUUUUUGGAUGCAAAUGCUUGAUAGUUUCAUCAUUGGAGGGGAUAAAGGUGCAUUCAUGAUUAUGAAUACUUGUAGUUAUAUUUUCAUUCUCUUUUUUCUCAAUGGGACUUGUUGGCACAAUUUUGCUGUUCAGAAACCUACCUCUCCAUGGAAAAUCAGUUGUGAUUGAUAUUACUGGAUAUAUUCAAGAAAGCUAAAUGUAGAUAGCACAAAAUAUUAUCGACAUAAAUAGCAUUAACAGCGUACGUAUGUCUCAAUGCUCAUCAGCUAUAAGCAAGGGGCAAACACUUACUAUGAGCAACUUACGUCAAAAUUCCGGAAUAGGACAUAGAAGUGACAGGUCAGUAAAUAUAGAACACUGCAUAUGAGUCACAAGAAAGGAAAUUACGGGUACAUAGCAGCUCUUAUUUUACAUCCUACUCAUACUGAUCAAAGUCACUCAGUUGGGAUGGGUGGGAGUGGGAGGUUUGUGGGGUGGCUUGUGCGGAGGAGUUGGCAGCUUCUUUCCAGGACCUGGUUGCUUCUCUGCUGGAGUUGAAGGAGGCUUAAUCUUCCGAGGUGGCUUGUAUGAGUCUUCAGCAUUCUCAGCAGGAGGGUGACCAGGGUUGUGACCACAAUGUGGUGGCUUCUCUCCCUUAGGUGGUUUGCCAACUGGGGUUGGUGGCUUGUGUUCCGGAAGUGGCUUCUCUUUGUGUUCAGGAGGUGGCUUCUCCACUGGAGGCUUGUGUUCAGGAGGUGGCUUCUCCACCGGAGGCUUGUGUUCAGGAGGUGGCUUCUCCACCGGAGGCUUGUGUUCAGGAGGUGGCUUCUCCACCGGAGGCUUAUGCUCUGGUGGUGGCUUCUCCACCGGAGGCUUAUGCUCUGGUGGUGGCUUCUCCACCGGAGGCUUAUGCAAUGGUGGUGGCUUCUCCACCGGAGGCUUGUGUUCAGGAGGUGGCUUCUCUACCGGAGGCUUAUGCUCUGGUGGUGGCUUCUCCACCGGAGGCUUAUGCUCUGGUGGUGGCUUCUCCACCGGAGGCUUGUGUUCAGGAGGUGGCUUCUCCACCGGAGGCUUGUGUUCAGGAGGUGGCUUCUCCACCGGAGGCUUGUGCUCUGGUGGUGGCUUCUCCACCGGAGGCUUAUGCUCUGGUGGUGGCUUCUCCACCGGAGGCUUGUGUUCAGGAGGUGGCUUCUCCACCGGAGGCUUAUGCUCUGGUGGUGGCUUCUCCACCGGAGGCUUGUGUUCAGGAGGUGGCUUCUCCACCGGAGGCUUAUGCUCUGGUGGUGGCUUCUCCACAGGAGGCUUGUGUUCAGGAGGUGGCUUCUCCACCGGAGGCUUAUGCUCUGGUGGUGGCUUCUCGAAUGGGGGAUGCGUAGGGUAAUCAGCUAGUGAGGGGGCGGUGAGAACCACCAGGCCAAGCAACACUACUAGCAAGUAUGUAGGAGACAUCUUUGGGUUUGGGCUCAGAUGGUGCAAAACUAGGAGAAUUGGCUAGCCUUUUAUAGCGGAUCGUACCCAAUAAUGAAAUGACACGUGUCAUUAUGACCCAUGUGUCAUGUGGUCGAUUUGGGUCCUACAGUGUUGAAAACUUCGACAUCCACUUUUUUGGCCUUUUGCUUUCUCUACAGUCGCCUUGCUUUUUCCCUCUUUUCUUUUGUUUUCCUCCUGCCCCAUUCUAUCAACUAAUCACAAUUAUGUAGUUGUUUAAUUCUUAAAUGAGAUAUUAUCC